UUUUAUAUAUAUAUAUAUAUAUACAUAUAUGUAUGGAGUGAGGCUACUAUGCUAUCGGAAGCACGGAGCCUUCCGUGCUUCCACUUCGUUUUCGAUGUUGCGACUUUCGAAUCGUCGAUCGGUUCCGUUAAACUUGAUCUAGAGUAUUUGGAGUACCUAAAAAAUAAAUUUUAUUAUUUUUCGAUAUCCUUUGCCUAGUGAUCGAAUGAGCUCAAAAUCAACAAAUUUCAAUGGCCGUAGUGAGCCGUUUGCAAGUUUAACGGUGUAGAAAUAUCCAAAUCACGUGAAAUUUUGAUAGAAAAUUCUUUAUACUAUAUAAAACAAGAUUAAUAUCUUUGAUUUAAAAUUUUAAUGUCAUAUUAUUAUAUUUUGUAAGAUUUUUAUUUUCAGCCGUUGAUUUUGAGCCCCUUUGUUCACUAGGCAAAUAAUAUCGAAAAUCGCAUAAUUUUUUCUAUGUACCCAAUACUUUAGUCAGCAGUUUACGGAGGCCGAUCGACGAGUUCGAGUGCACUCCGAAAGAGCGGGUGGAAGCCAGAAGGUCCGUGCUUCGAGGCUUAGUGCUAUGUAUAUGUUUGUAUAUAUAAGAAUUGGUCUUAUACUUUUAUAAGUAUUAAGUUUGAUGUUGGGAAGUUUUAUGCUUGGAUUAAGAGAUUGCGUUGGCAUGAUGUGUGGGCCCCUAGAUUGGUGGGUGUUGGUUGAUUAGUUAAUCUAUAUGGUUAGAUAAUUAUCGUGGAGUAAAUCUAUGUCGUGAAUUCAAGACACGUGAUUGUGCUUUUCAAGACUAGCGUAGCUUUGGAAUAUAUUUAUAUAUAUAGAGUUAGGUGGCGUUAUAUUAUCGGUAGCACGGAGUCUCGUGAUACGAAAUUGUUUUCAAUGAUGCGGCUUCCAUCGGUAACGAUGGUUCGUUGACUUGAUUACAUAUGAAGUAUUUGAACUAAUUCAUAUUUUCGGCAGAGUGUUCUUAAAAUAAGUUGAAUUAAAAUUAUAAAAUUAUGAUAGAGUAUUGAUUUAAGGAUUAGAGAUUGAGAUUUUAUUUUAAAUAGUGAAAACAAUUUCAUAAUUUAUAAAUUUGGUUGUUUUAGAACCGUAAAUGUCACAAUUCAUAUCCUCCAUAAAUUACAAGUUUGAGAUCUUGUGAUCACUGCGAUGAUAGGCAAAAUUAUGAAAUUUAGUUUCUAAAUACUUUCAAUAGUGUAGAUCAAGUCUAACGGAGUCGAUUGUCGAUUUAGAAUCCGCAUUAUUGAAAACAACUUGGUAGCACGGAGGCCUCCAUGUUACCGAUAGUAUACCAGCCUAGCUCAUAUAUAUAUAUAUAUAAUUUUAUUUAUAAAUAUAUGUUUAUUUCUUAUAUAUAGUAUUUUAUUUUUAUAUAGAGAUAUUAUUAUAUAAUAAUUUAUUUAUAAUUUUAUUAAUAUUUUUAAAUAUAUAACUUUUAUAUAUUAUGUACUAUGUUUAUUAUAAUUUUAAAUAUAUUUAAUUUAUAUACAGAAAUUAUAAUAAUAAUUAUAUAAUAUAUUAAUUAUUAUAUAUUAAUAAUAUAUAUAAUAAAAAAUACAUUAAAUAAUUUUUUAUUAUUAUUUUUUUUUCAAUCAAACAAUCGUCAUGAAAAAUUACUUUUUUUUUCUAUAAAUUAAACACCAAAUAAUGUAAAACUUUCUUUCAAUCAAAAUUUUUUUUCUAUUUUAUGUAGAACCAAACAAUCCCUAAACUCAAACAUUUAUUAAGAAAACAGAUGGAUAAGCUUCCAAGUUUUUAAUGAUUACGUAAUAUCCAUAACUAUAAUAAUGCUACUUGGUAAAAAUUAAGGCUACACAUUUGACUUGAACCAUACGAUCGUUUACAUUUUUUUUUAUUUUGGCUUUUUAACUUUUUGGAUGUACCAUACUACCGUGUAAUAAUUGUUCAGAGGGCUUUUUUUUUUUUUGUAUUUAGCCGUCUGGCAAAUUUUUAUUUUAAAAUUAGUCCUGUUAAAAUUUAAUUUACAAAAAUGACCCUUAAGCCUGCUACGCAGGCGCUAUGUUAGCGGCACGCGGGCAAGGCGGGGGCCCGUGUGUUAAGUUGAACACGGUGAAUGAUUCACCGUGUUCAAACACGGUGAAUAAUUUACCGCGUUUAGUACGUAUUUUUAUUGAAAGGAGGAAUAGGGAGUAGGGAUGUUAAUAGGUAUGGAUAUUCGAAAUAUUAUCCAAAUCCAAACCCGAAUAAAUUAUAUAUAUAUAUAUAUACAUAAUUUAUUUUUUUUAUUUAUACAAUAUAUAAAAUAUUUAAUAAUUUUUAUUUCUUAGAUUUUCAUCCAACGGUAUAGAUUUUUAAAAUUCGCUGGGUUCAGGUUCGGAUUUCGAGUUUUUGGUCAGAUAUGGAUAUGGAUAUGAAUUUUUAAAAUCCGUCGGGUUCGGAUCCGGGUUUGAAUUUUAAUUUGAUUUUCGGAUUUGGGUUCGGAUUUUUGAAAAAGAGAAAAAAAAAAUACAAAUUUUCUAUUUCUCUUUUCAAUAUACAAAAAAUACAUACCAAACACAGUGAAUCUUUCACCGUAUUUAGAUACGGUGAAUGGUUCACAGUGUUUAACUUAACUACCGCUCUCAGUCCCGCCCGCGUGGUGCUGACGUGCUACCUGCGUGGCAGAUUUAGGAUCAUUUUUACAAAUUAAAUUUUGAUAAAAAUAUUUUUAAAAUAAGAAUUUGCCGGGGGAUAAAUGCAAAAAAAAAGCCUCACGAGUAAGCUCGUAGCUUAAGCUUCUCCCUAGAGAGCAACACCCCCACAGUCAAAGUCAACGCACAUGGCGGGAAGAGAAUAUUCAUCGUUAUCUCCAACUUCCCUUUUUCUUUAAAAAGAGAAAAAGAAAAUUCUUCCUUCUAUUCCCCUCCUCUUACAUCCUAACGGAUGCUUUUCGCCUGCUCCAAGUCUUCGAUGUAACGAAACCAACAAAGGAAAAGGCCAAAAAAGAAAAAAAAAAGAAAAAAAAAAGAAGCCGUUAAUGGAUUCCUCCGCUUUGGUGCCUCCGAGUUUCCUCGCUCAAACCAAUGCUCUCAUGCGGAAAAACCUCAUUUUCCAGGUGAUUUAUUCGAGCUCUUCAUUUUUUUUCUUUUGUUUUUUUUUUAGGGUUCUGAUCUGGGUCUUAAUCUAUGAUAUAUGCUUUUCUUUUUUAAAAAAUUAUUAUUAAACGGUUACGACCAAUUGAGUGAGAUCUUAGAAUUAGGUUGGGAGACUUCAAGUUCAGCGGAUUAAAUAUUGAAAUAACAUGAACAACAACGUCUCCUGGAUCUGCAGAAACGGAAUCGGAAAUCAACUCUCCGGCUAGUGGUGUUUCCAAUCUACCUCUGUGUUCUACUAGCUGUACUGCAAACAACCAUCAACAAACAAUUGAACAAGCCCAAGUACAGAUGCGGCUGCAAAUGUGUCGAUGCGAACGGCGACGGCUCUUGCCAAAAUGUGUGCGGAAUUCAGUACUCUACGCCGGAUCAAGCCGACAGUUGUGCGAUACCGAGUCCCCCGGAGUGGCCCGCCCUGCUGCAAGUGCCUCGACCCGAAUAUCGCGCUGCUCGGGCUGCUUCCGGUGAUCCUAGGGACUUGCCGAAUGAGUCGUGCAGAGAGGCACGGUCUUGUCCGGCUAGCAUACUCUUCACGGGGAAAAAUGAAUCGCUGUCGGGCAGUAUGUUGAUUUCUACUACGGUUUAUGUAUUAACAACUGUAAAUAUGCGUGAAUUUUUCGGUCUAAUGUCGUGACACUGGACUUCUAAUAUGGCAGGUUUGGCGUCGAACUUGUUCGCAAGCUCGCCACUUUCAAAUCUCUCUGAUUAUCUGAGCACUCUAUCGGAUUUAAUCGCAGUAAGUUGAAUUAAGUUGAUAUGUGCUUUUCCUGAAUUAUCUUUAUAAUUGUCAGAGUUGUUAACUGGGACUGACCCUUCCUUUCGACUCCAAAUUGCUCAGGGCACAGAUACACCGACCAGAUAUACAGAGUUUGUUGAACCUGCGUUUUUCUCAGGUAGACCCGUAUACUUUGUUCAACCACAGUGUCGACAAAAUAUUUCGCUUACGGUCCCUGUUAGCGCUUCUUCAGUCACACUUAUGCAAGGUAUCAAAUUUCUCAUUCGUCAGGAAAAAGGCCAUUAAUUUUCCUUUGUAUUCAGGCAGGAAAUGAUAAUUUAUCUCUCUAUAUAAAUAUAAAAGAUGGAGUUGAUAAAUACAAAAAUAUUACUUCUGUGGUUUUUUUGUCGCAAGUUCUCUAAUGAGGUCGGUUGCAUCGUAUAUUUUGCCCUAAAACAUGUUUUAUCGAUGUUUGGAUCAGAGCUAAAAUGUGUUCAAGGAUUGCCUUUGUGGCGAAACAGUUCCUUCGAGAUAAAUGAUGAGUUGUUCAAGGGUUACCGACAAGGGAACACAGAAAGAAUGAUUAAUGAAUUUACAGCAGGUUUGUUUAGCUGGUCCUAUAAUCAAAAUAAUUCUCUCACUCUUGCUUUUCAUUUUUUUGUUUUUUAUGCAUGAAGGACUAAUCCUGUUAUUUUUCUUCGUGUUGCAGCUUAUGAUUUCCUAAACUCCAAUUUGACGAAUUUUAAUGUGAUUGUUUGGUAUAAUUCAACCUACAAAAAUGCCACUGUUGGUAGCCCGCCUGCACUUUUGCGUGUUUCGCGCUCGUUGAAUAUUGUGGGUGUCAAUGGCCUGCUUAAUUUCUAGUUCUCUUUCCUUUUCUACUCGUUUUCUCUUUGGUUUAAAUUAUUCUUGAUAUUAAGGAACAAGAGUAUCUUGAAUACUCUGGCACCAAUGUUCAGAUUGUGCUAUGCUUUGAUUUCAUUUGAAUUCGACGGAUUUAUUGCAUGUAUUUCUUUCUUUUUUCCCCUCUCAUUGGUUGCUAAUUUUUCUAACAAAUUAUUAGUUAAAAUAGGCCUACUUUACAAACCGAUGCGAGCAAUUAUGAAGUCCUGAACACUACAAAGAUACUUUGUGAUUUCUCAGAAGAAUUCUGUAACAUUGUUAUGUACCCUUUAUACACUCACUUAGACGUACUCUUAAUACAAUUGAAUAUUUAAUGGUCAUCUUGUUUUAUGAAACCGGAUGAGAAAUUGUCUACAUCUUUAUAUAAACUUUUCCACUUGAAGGGAAAAUAAUCCGAGAGGUUUGCCCAACUAAGCAUUUGACAAAUGCAGUUAAUCUUAUAACAUGAAGGUCAAUGAGGCUUUGGAGGACAUAAAUAUUUCUAUUUUUUUCAGUGAAGUAGGAAUCGUUUUCACUUUGCUUUGUGAUUUCUGGUGUAGUUUUUAUAAUUUUAAAGUAGUGUAAAGGCUAUCUUUCACCUCUAAUGAACUUCUUGUUUGCAAGCUUAUGUAGGUCUCAAAUGCCUUCCUUGAGUUCUUACGAGGGAAAGGAGUGAAGAUACAACUUGAGUUCACUGAAGAAAUGCCUAAACCUGCAACUCGCUUAACAUUCGAUUUUUCAUCUCUUGCUGGUCCUCUCUUCUUUCUGUGGGUUAUAGAGCUACUGUUUCCAGUAAGAUCCUUAUCCUGAAUUUUUUGGUCCUCAUGUUUCUAUAAUACAUGAUUUCGACAUAAAAUUGGUUAUUACAUAAGGCAAAUAUGUCAAAUGAGGUUUCCUGUGGUUGCUAAUUAUUUUAAUGUACGAUAAGGAAACAUGAAUGCUAUUUCUUAAGGAAAUUGAACGUCUUAUAUAAUUCCAACUAUUAUUUACAUCAGUUAACCAUGAAUAGAUACCAUCAACUGUAAACUUUUUUUUUUUUUUUUUAAAUGUGGUCAUGAAUUAUAAACUCUAUGUAAAUCCUUCAACUAUUUACACCUCUAGUACCAUCAGUUGUUUAUUUUUCAUUUGGAGUAUGUAUUGCUUACUUUUUCUGAUGCAGGUCAUGUUGACGUAUCUAGUCUACGAGAAGCAACACAAACUAAGAAUAAUGAUGAAAAUGCACGGGCUAAGGGAUGGCCCUUAUUGGGUUAUAUACUACUUGUAUUUCCUUCUCCUCUCCUCCAUAUAUAUGUUACUUUUUGUGAUUUUUGGAUCUCUAAUAGGUAAGAGAAUUUCUUACAAAUGGCUUGUAAAAUUGCUGUUCCAAAUCAGGCAUUCAUAUAAUUUUUUUUUAAAUUUUUUUUUUCCUUUUUUUGGGUGCAGGGCUAAAGUUCUUCAGCCUGAAUGACUACAGCAUACAGUUUGUAUUCUUUUUCAGCUUCAUUAACUUACAAAUUGUACUCGCUUUUCUAGCGGCAACAUUCUUUUCCAAUGUGAAGACUGCUCAAGGUCCAACAAUUUUCUGAAUUUCUUAUCUACAAAAGAUUUAUGAUCUUAUUUGUGACUUGAGUUACAUAGUAUUUCCUCUGUUAAUCUUCUUGAUUGUAGUAAUUGGCUACCUAUACAUAUUUGGUUCUGGGUUGAUGGCAGCGUAUCUUCUUCGGUCUUUCAUUGAGGAUUCAUCCUUCCCAAGUAAGUUGAAUCAGUCUAUUCAGGUUGAUUAUUUUAAGCCCCAUGCUUAUAUGUUUUUAAGGGCUUUCACGUACGUGUCUCUACAAAGUUAUCCAUUUAUAUGUAUAUAUACACUUAUAAAACCUUAAUUUUCAUAUACCCCUCAUAAGUGCAUGUAAAAAAUUAUUUGAUAUCCUUCUCCUGUUCUGAUUGUUAUGUUACCUCUUUGCUUCUUUUGCUGUUUUAGGACAUUGGAUUACUGUUCUAGAGAUCAUACCGGCGUUCUCUUUGUUUCGAGGGCUAUAUGAGUUUAGCCAAUAUUCUUUCAAUGCAAGUCAAGUGGGUACGUCCGGUAUGCAUUGGAGAGAUUUGAAUAACAGUGUGAACGGAAUGAAAGAUGCCCUUAUUAUCAUCAUCGUGGAAUGGCUGAUUCUGCUCCCUGUUGCAUAUUAUUUGGAUUAUGCUCUCUUACAAGGCAGCAGAAUGAGUCAUCUAUGUUUUUUUAGAUCCUUUUUGAGGAAGACUCCAAAUUUACGUAGGAGGCCAAGUCUUCAUGAACAGGAUUCAAAUAGAUUUUUUCUUGACAUGGAAAAGGAAGAUGUACACAAGGAAGUAAGUUAUUGAUGUUGCAACCCUUGAGCUGUUUUACGUAAUUGAAUCAAUGUUGCGUGCCUGAGAAUUUUAUGGGAUUUUUGAAAAGAUAAUCCACUUCUUUUCUUGGACUUGUAACUUCGGUCCACUUUUCUUUCUUUUUUUUCGUCUUUUUUUUUUUAAUCUUGGGAAAUUCAAGCUAAAUUCUUUCUUAUUAGCUGCAAUGCCUUUCACGCCACUUGUUGACAAAUCUUUGCACUUCAGCUUCUAUCUGGACUUUUAUAGUCCUUUCAUAGUCCAUGCAAGUAUAUAUUUAGUCAAAAUUGCAAUGAUAUAUAAAAUGGCCAUGUUAUACUAUCUAAUAAUCUUUUGGUCUUUUAUAUGGCUUCCUUAUGCUAAACUCACAGUGAUAAGUGCUUAUUUCCUUCCAAAUUACGCACUAUUAUCUCUUAUGAUUUUUUGUGAUACUGUUUCAGAGGGAGAUGGUUGAACAACUUCUAGUAGAACCUAAUACAGGGUAUUCCAUCAUCUGUAAUGACCUUAAGAAGGUGUAUCCGGGAAAGGACGGAAACCCUAAUAAGUUUGCAGUUCGAGGUUUAUCACUUGCUUUACCCAAUGGGGAGUGCUUCGGUCUGCUUGGCCCUAAUGGUGCUGGAAAAACCUCUUUUAUUAACAUGGUUUGUUCUUAUAUAUUCAACUUUUUAUACAAAAAAAUCGCACAGGUUUUUUUUGCUUAUUUCAACCAUAUUCGAUUUGCUACUCGAUGUAGUGCUUUGCGAAUUGUUACUCCCAGCUAUUCGGAGGCUCUGAUGUAGUGUUUUUGUUUGUUUUUUUUUUCACCCCCUCUUGAGGCCGUUGUUGCCUCACUCAUGUAGCCUAGUUCAUCAUUUCAAUGAAUGAAGUGGGUAGCGUGCUACCUUUCUCUCUCUCUAAAAAAAAAAGAACUUAUAACCUAUUUGCUCAUCUAUCUAGAUGUAUUCCACUGCUUCUAUUUGCUGCUUCUAUUUGCUGUCUUAAACAGCUGUACACUUCUUGCAGAUGAUUGGGCUUACAACACCAACGUCAGGAAAUGCAUUAGUCCGCGGAUGCAACAUACUGAAUGACAUGGACAAUAUAUACAACAACAUGGGUGUUUGCCCACAGAAUGAGUAUUGUUUCCUUUCCCAUUCCAUUUUCAAAGUUCAAUAGCGAACGAAAGAUAUCAUCUAAUUUUUUAUUUGCUCCUUAAUCAAAUGCAGCAUGCUAUGGGAAAUGCUGACAGGUAGAGAACACCUUAUAUUUUAUGGCCGAUUAAAGAAUCUCAAAGGUUCCACUUUAACACUUGUAAGUCUGUCAAAAAAUAAAAAUAAUUCUAAUCUCCUAUAGUGAUAUUCCCUAAUUUUCUUCACUUUUUGUGAAAUAAAAAAAUAACAUUGCCAUAAAUUGGUAAUGAUGUUUUUGUUCUCAUUUGAUGUCAAUUUUUCAGGCUGUUGAAGAAUCAUUAAGAAGUGUAAAUCUAUUACAUGGCGGUGCUGCUGAUAAGCAAGUUAAGAAAUACAGUGGCGGCAUGAAAAGGAGACUUAGUGUUGCCAUAUCUCUAAUUGGAAAUCCUAAAGUAUACUAUUCUACAAGAUCAUUAUUCAAUCCCUUUCCACUAUUUGGUGUUCAGUUGCACUGUAUUAACUGUGAAUUGUUGCAACAGGUUGUGUACAUGGAUGAGCCAAGUACAGGGUUAGAUCCUGCUUCAAGAAACAGCUUGUGGAAUGUUGUGAAGCAUGCAAAGCAAGACAAAGCAAUUAUUCUUACUAGUAACACUCUAAACUCAAUCGCCGAUGCAUUCACUAAGUUCGGUGUUUGUGCAGCCGCUGCAAUGCUCCUGUCACCACUUUCUUUGGCUUUUGGACCGUAAAGCUCUUUUGAGUAGGAAGCUGUGAACAAAUUAAUAGCUCACUUGUCCUAAUUGUCUAUAUUGCAGCUCAUUCGAUGGAAGAGGCUGAGGCUCUAUGCGAUAGGUUGGCGAUUAUGGUAGACGGAAAGCUUCAGUGCAUAGGAAGCCCGAGAGAGGUAUAACGAUAUAUGUUUGAUAUUUCACAUUCUAUUAUAGAAGCUUCUAAACUAUACUAGUGAGUUUUUAAUCUCUGUUUUGGAAAUGUUAGUGGUGAUAUAUUUUCACUUUCUUUGACAAAGACCAAAUGAGUUUUUCUGAAAAGGAAAAAAAUAUGCUUGAAAGUUUCAUUAUAUGUUCUUUGAAAAGCACAUUCAUUUAACUUUUCAGAGGUAUGCCCAAAAUUUUUCAAACUUUUUGAGAGGCAAGUUGAAUCCGUUAUCUAAAGUUAAAUCAUCAUCGAAUGUUGUGUAGUUGUAUCUGACAAGCUUUAUCUUAUUUCUGUACUUGUUUGUGUCUGAAAUGGAAUGUAUAGUCAUAAAUGUGAGAACACUGAAAGAUUAUUUAUCAGGUUCUUUAUCAGUAGCAAUUAGCAUUUCCUUGCAUCAAAAAAUAUGAACAUGAAAAAGCUGAAGCCAUUAAAUUUUUUUUUGGUUUCCUUUUUGGCAGUUGAAAGCGAGAUUUGGAGGAAUUUAUCUGCUGACAAUGACGACGUCUCCAGAAACGGAGCGAGAGGUAGAGAAUUUAGUCCAUGGACUCUCUCCCAGUGCGAACAAAAUAUAUCAUCUGUCGGGGACCCUAAAGUUUGAACUGCCUAAACAAGAAGUCAGAAUCGCCGAUGUUUUCUCGUCCGUGGAGAAUUUCAAGAGAAGAGUUGCUGUGCAAGCUUGGGGUUUGUCCGAUGCGACAAUGGAAGAUGUUUUCAUUAAAGUCGCUAAAGGAGCAGGCUCAUUUGAUGAAUUUCCAUAAUUGCUACAAUUUUCUUCUCUCGCUCAUUAUCCAUCUGAGCUUCUGCAUUAGAGCAACAUUAUGUAUCAAAUAGUAAAGAAUCUACAUGAUAUAAUGAUGUUUGUGUUAAUCCAAGCACACAUGAUUUUCUUGUUUUCUAGCAUUGAACAUUUCAAUGUAUCAAAAAUUUAAAGAGCUGUAACUAUUCACUUGUAUUUUACUAUGGAAUAUAAUUCAAUUUCUUGUUUUACCGUGAAUAAGUCAAGACAUGUAGCUCUCGUACAAAUCAUAUAUUUUAUGUACGGAAAUAAACAGAAUAUUCACAUGGACCGUCUAUGUUGGACGCCCACAUGGUAUUCCUUUGUUGAGGAUCAGAGGAGGUGACGAUCCAAUCUGUAGCUGUUCCUUUUUUUUUUUCUUCUCGCGAGGCCCUGGUUGUCUCAUCCUUGUAGCCUAAUUCACUUACUCCAUGAAUGAAGUGGAUAGCGUGCUACCUUUUCCUCCAAAAAAAAUAAAUAAAUAAAAUAAUAAUAAUAAUAAUAAUGACUCAGUUGGAUUCAUAUCACCAGCCCAACCAGAAUCCCUUUCCAUCCAAUAUUGGGCCUAAUUGGGCCGUAAAUAAAGAGCCCCGUAAGAGUUCAAGUCCCACACGAGAAAGAGAGACACGAAAAUGACUCGUAAUAAAAGUGCUUUCUCUAAUUCGCGCGGGCCCCACUCCGAGGAGAAAAAGUUGGAGGCGACUGUAGCGGAUGAAAAUGUGCUUGCGUGGCAGAUUCAAAUUACUGUGCGAGUCCGACACGUAAACGGACAUCGUAGACUCUUUGCAUAAUGAACUCGCAACACGUGGCUCCGACGACGUAAACGGCGCGGGAGCGGGCGAGGACGACAAUAAAGAAAACGACGCGCCUAAGACAAGGUGGCACGUGUCCAAGUCCAAUUCAAAAUCCUGUGUCACGACUCCCGAGUCAAAGUUCACUUCACAAACCCGCCACGUCACAGAAUAAAUGGGUGGCGACUGAUGCGGACGAUUUACCCCACUCGUUUAUCCCACUGCGUACAAAUAUUUUAAAUGUUUUUUUAUAUACUUUUUUUUAUAUUUAAUUUUGUUAUCAUGGUUGAUGAAAAUGGAGGAUUAAAUCCUUUUGCAGCGGCAAAAGAAAUUCCACAGAAAAUGUAUAAUAUAUAUGUUAACUAAUACUUUUAUCAUUUGGCAACAUUGAAAGAGUAAUACUUCUUAAAGAUGCUUUUCGAUUUUCUCAAAGUUACAAAGCAACAAACGCUGGAGCAUUUUCCAAAGCUUGGCCAAAAUUGACUACCACAUUCAAACGCACGACUCUCACAUCUAAUCUCAUCCCAAACAGUAAUACAAAAGCAUUGGUGUAAUAAGUAUCACAUCAAAGGACAAGAACAUGGUUAGCACCAUCAGGUUCCUACUGUAAUCACAUGAUUCCAUGGCUAGCCCCUUGUUUUUUUCUUUUUUCCUUUUUUUUAAAAAUUUUUAACCCAACUAAACUGUCCUGUUCUCACAUUUGUACAAAAGUUGAUGCUAGAACAAACUCUUAAACUUUCUCUUUUAUCAUUUUCUUAUAAAUCCUUUUAUUGAAAAGUAUAAAAUUUACACGUAUCUAUAACAAAUAUACAGAUAGCAUAUUCCAAAUUUAUAAGGUGAUUCAACAAAGUAGAUUGUUUCCUCACACGAUAAUUUCACACUGAACAAAAAGGGGACUCAUACAUUAAGCCACUAAAUGGCUUAUUCUUAAAAAAGCCAAUAAACUGGAUGGAUUAUUAAUACAUCUUCUUAAACAUUAAUUAAGAGUACCCAACUAAGGCCAGAACAAGAAAUCCUGGUCCACAAAUGGGAUUUCAUAUUUGCAAGAGUAUCCUUGGAGAUUGGAAGAAUCUACUGUAGGAUCUGAUAGAACUGAGUUUCCUUUCUCCAUGCAAUGAGAGCUCUCAGUGUGUUGAGGGCUCUCACAACUAUUAAACACCACACUGUUGCUAGAGAUGAGAUCUUCUGGUUUGCUUACCAUUAGAUUUUGGUCAUCUGAUCCCCCUCCUUCCGACGAAACCAAAAUUUUCUUUGGUUUUUGGGAAAUUUUGUUGGUUUUUUCGAAUUCAAACGACUGCGUGGAUAAACUGAACAUGUUUUCGACGCCGAGCUUUUUCGCGAGUGAAAGUACCUGCAGAGAAAGAAGAUCUAAGUGAUGAUUGCGCAAUUUCCACAAAUUGUUCGAUUAUUAUUUUGACAAAAUUGUGUAAACCUGUUUUAAUUGCUUGGCCCAUUUUGGUUGUGUAGAAUAAGACAAAAGAGCGAUAUUGAAUAAUAAGAUCAUGACAGGCGAAAGGUGAAUUCCGUGGGAUACAACAGCAUUUUUGAAAUCUAAUCCCAUUCAAUAUCAACAUCUGCGGGGUAAGAUUCAAAAUUCUCAAAUUAUUUGAUUCGAUUAGAUCUGGUUGCGCCAGCCAUUCGCCGCGACUCCGACAGAUUUGAGUUGUGAACAUUACUAUCUCAUCUUAUUCUUUCCGAUAGCGUGUAGAAACUAAUAACAGCUGCACGAAUGUUCUCUAGAGAACAUUAUUAUCGCAACUUCUUCAUCUAAGUUUCAAAGCAUUCAUAUAAGAUGGUGUGUUUCUCGGGGAGAGGGGGAAAAAAGAAAUUGUAAAGAUGCGAGAUAGAUAUACCUCAGCUUGAAGAUCCUCUUUCUCCUUGCAUAAACCCUCAUAAUUAACCUUGAGGGAAUCAUAGCUACAUUUUAGUGCAUCGUAGUCCUUCUCCAGCUGCUUUAUCUUCCACCGAGCACGACGGUUCUGAAACCAAAUCGCGACCUGUUUGGGUUCGAGCCCGAGCUCCUUCGCGAGCUCGAUCUUCCGUUCCGGCUCGAGCCUGUUUUCGACUUCGAAGCUCCUCUCCAGAAACUCAAUUUGGUCAUCACUGAGCCUCCUCUUCUUCAACGGAAGAUGAGUGAACUCGUCCGAGUCCUCAUCGGAAAAUCUUUUUCUUUGAGGGGUUUCGUCGAAAUUUAUCAUAGCUCUUGAUCCUGCAAAAUCAAUCUCUUGUAAAACUCAAAAGCUCUAAAUCCACAUCCCUGUUUUCGCUUUCUUUUUUCUUUUUUUUUUUUUAAGAACAAAAAAUUUCAAUUUGGUUCCACUCCUAAUUAAAAAUCUUAAAGUGACAAAUCAAAAACCAACCAUUUAAAAAUUCCUUCAUAAUAAUUGUGGUUUCAUCUGAGAAGCAGAGAAUGAUGCCCAAAAAUCACACCUUUUUUUUUUUUUUGGGCUGCAGAGUAGUACUUAAACGUUUAAUAAAUUACCCUCGAAAUUUCAUCUCAACAACUCAGAUUACAAAAAAAAAAAAAAAAAAAACAAACAAAACAAAAACAAAAACAAUUUAGAGUGAAGUGGUAAACCAUAAAUGGGAAAAAAAGGAACAAAGCGUAAAACCCAAAACAGGGGAGAGAAACAAGGAGGUGAGAGAGGGGUAUUAGGUAGUAUUACCGUAAAAUCCCACCGGAGAGAACAAGGCCUCGAAACCCUCGGCGGAGACUCCUUCGUGCGGGAGCAAAGUCGCCGUAUUUGAACCCUUGUAUAUCAUCAUCUCCUUCGCCAUCAUCUCCCCCUGCUUCCGCCUUCGAUUACAAGCGAAAAAAAAGACCUUUUUUUUUUGUUUCCCUUUCGUCUAAGCAGGGUUUUUGCAGGGUGCGACGGGCACCAUCUCGGCUUCCCAAAAGAGCGCUUUUUUUUUUUUGGUAAAAAGAAAAGCUCCUUUUUUUUCCGGCUUCUACUGGAGCUUGUGGCGGAAGAAGCUGGUGGUCACCGCGAACGCGCCGUGGGAAGCGGCGCGGGGCCUUUCGCAAAGCGGAGGUGAGCCCAUCACUCACUCUGUUUCGCUCGUCUUCCUCAGCAGAAGAGGAAGGAGGAGGAGGACGAAGAGGAGGAGGAGGAGGAGGAGAGUAGAAGCAAACGCUUCUUUGGUUUUGAGUACUGAGAUGGGUUGUGGGGUGUUUUACAAAUUACCCAGUGAGUUUGAAGGGAAUUUUGGUUUUUUAGUUUGGGAGACUACCGAGGGGAGAAGAGAAAUUGGAGUGUGAGACUGUGUUAUGAGGCGUGUAUGAUAGACAAGGGACUCUCUCAAAGGCAGAGCUGUAAUAUAUAUAUAUAUAUAUAUAUAUAUAUAUAUAAAAUUGAGUUAAAAUACUUUUAGAAGCAUUAAUUUCUUGGUGCUUCUAAAUUUUUAGCUCUUUGAUCUAUUCCUUAAUUAUUAAUACCCCUUAGAUCAAAUACUAUUCCAUCUAUCACUAUCUACCACUAUCAUCUCAACCCUACAUCUCUCUAUUAAAAGGUUAAAAACUCGAAUAUAUAUAUAUAUAACUAGGCUAUUAUGCUAUUAAUAGCACCAAGUCAUUGAUGCUAUCAAGUUUUUGGCCAUUGGAUUAAGAGAUGUGCAGUUAGGAUAAUUUGGGCCCCCUAGGGUUAAUGGAUGGUUGGUUGAAUAGUAUGAUCUAACAGAUGAAAAUAAUCAAAAUGGUAGAUCUAACGGCGAAAAACUUAGUAGCACCAAGUGCUUCGUGCUAUUAAUUGUAUAGUUAUAUAUAUAUAGUUGGACUAGAAUAAUAUUGAUAGCAAAAAGCCUUUAACAACUAAAAUAAAAACUUAGAUGCUAUUAAUUGUAUGGUGAAUCAAAAUUAAACUUUAAAUUUAAAGUAAAAUCUGAAUUAAAUUUUGAUACUUUUAGUUUAAACAACAUAUUUAUAUUUUAAAUUUACUAGAAUUGAAAAAUAUAUAAAAUAGUUCAAUGUAUAUGUAAAAAAUAAUAUAAAAUAUUCUAGGUAUUUUCUAAUAAAAUAUAAUAUAUGAAUUUAUAAAAUAUAUAAUUUAUAUUGUAAAUUUUUAAAUNGGCUCCGUUAGACUUGAUCUAUACUAUUAAAAAUAUUUGAAAACUAAAUUUCAUAAUUUUUCGACAUCAUUUGGCUAGUGAUCAAAAGGUCUCAAAAUUGAUAAUUUUAAUGGUAGAUGUGAUGCAUUUGUAAGUUUAACGGUGUAAAACAAUCCAAAUCAGAUGAAAAUUUUAUGAAAAAUUAUUUUUACUAUUUAGAGUAAGUUCAGUACCUCUGAUCUUAAAUUCAAGUCUUCUAUCAUCGUUUUUUAUGAGAUUUUUAUUUUCAGCCGUUCAUUUUUAGACUACUCGUUUGAUAGGUAAAUGAUACCGAAAAAUUAUGAAAUUUAAUUUCCAAAUACUUUCAAUAGUGUAGAUCAAGUCUAACGGAGCCGAUCGUCGAUUUGGAAUCGGCAUCAUUGAAAACAACUUGAUAGCACGGAGGCCUCGGUGCUACCGAUAGUAUACCAGCCUAGCUCUAUAUAUAUAAAUAUAUAGAGUUGGACUGGGCUACUAUUAGUAGCAAAAUUCCAUUGUUGCUACCAGUUUUUUAGCCUUUGGAUAAACUCUUUUCAUUAUUUCUAACUAUUGGAUUAAAUACUAUAACCCAGUGGAGACCACUCAUCCAAAGGUGAAAAACUUGAUAGCAAAAAGAGCGUUUUACUAUUAAUAGUAUUUCAGCCUAAAUUUAGGCUGAAAUAUUAUUAGGCUGAAAUACUAUUAAUAGUAAAACGCUCUUUUUGCUAUCAAGCUUUUCACCCUUGGAUGAAAAAUUGUAGGGUCGGGAUGAUAUUAGUCGGUUAGAGUUGAGUGGUUCUCCUAGGGUUGAGUGGUCCCCACUGGGUUAUAGUAUUUAAUCUAAUGGUUAGAAAUAAUGAAAAGAGUUGAUCCAAAGGCUAAAAAACUGGUAGCAACAAUAGAAUUUUGCUACUAAUAGUAGCCCAGUCCAACUCUAUAUAUAUAUGUGUAUAUAAUCACACUGUUUCUACAGCAAGUGUGUGAAAUGACAAAAUAGCCCUUUUACUUUGCCAUUUUGUUCGUUUAGGGGCUGUUUGGUUUGACGUAAAACUGUGGAAAAAAAAAUUUUAAGUAAAAAAAAAAUUUUCGGAGGAAAAUAAAUUUUACGCUCUUAGCGUUUGGUUUGUAGGAAAAAAAAAAAAGCUUUCCGUUACGGUUGUUUGGUUGAAAGAAAAAGAAAGAAAAAAUAAAUGGGAAAUGAUUAUAUGUAUUUUGUCAUAUUAUAUAUAUAUAUUAUUAAUAUAAAAUAAUUAUUAUAUAUAUUAUUAAUAUAAAAUAAUUAUCAUACUACAUAUAUAAUUAUUAUAAUUUAUAUUUAUUAAUAAAAUAUAUGUAAAAUAUAUUAUACAGUAAAUAUGUAAUGUAAUAUAUAAUUAUAUAUAUAUUUAAAUACUAUAAAAUAAAUUAUUAUAUAUUUAUAAAUAAUAUUAUAAAUAAAAUAUUAUAUAUUAGCAAAUUUAUAAUAAAAAUAAAAUAUUAUACAUAUAUAUAAACAGACAUAGAAAGAGCGGUCUAUGGUGGGUCCUCUCACGUGGUCCACGAGAACAAGCUUUUCUCGUGGACCGCGUCUUUUCCCGCUGCCAUAAGCCGUGCCUUUUGGUAAAGAGUUUUCGUUUUCCGCGUAAAAAUGGCGGAAAACGAAAAGCCCCGUUUUCAUCCAAAUAUGUAAAAAAGGUUUUCAUGAAAAAUCAUUUUACCACAACCAAACAAGCCAUUUUUACGGAUAACCAAACAAACCCUUAGUCAUUUCAUUUUCUAGUGAUAAUAUACGGAAAAUAAAAAAAAGGGAAGUUACGGAGUUGAGCUUAAGUAGUGAAAUUUAUUAGGGUUUAAAUUUAGUAAGGUCAAUUUCUCCAUUUCUUUUUUAAUAAUUAGCAUCAAAGAUAUGAAACACUAAAGAAUUUUUUUAAAAAAAGAAAAAAAAAAUACACGAGUAGGAUAUGCGGUUUAGCUUUGUAAACGAUGUUCACCAACAAAUAGCCAAUUAAAUAAAGAUUUCAACCGGAUUAAAAGUGAACUGUAAAGAAAAAAAUUAUCUUUAAAAUCUGAGCUGCCAAAUGGUAAAUUCGAGCAUGCUAUGGAUCCAUAAUUUGUCCCUUUUUCACUUCUCCGAAAGAAAAGAUGAUUAGGAGUGCAUCAUAGAUGCAUUUAUAAUGUGAUUGUGAUUAAACUAAAGAAAAAGAAGGUAAAAAGAUAAGAAAUUGGGGAGAACUAGAAGCCAAUAUUUGGGAUCAAAUAAGACCAAUCUAGGUCACAUGUAGCAUGUUCCUCAUCACCAAUUUAGUUACAUCAAUUAUUAUUAGUCUACAAUUAUAUGAGAUGACACUUGCCCUAAUGUAGCUCCUAGAAACGGGAUAACAAUUGCAGGGGGUAACGAAAAUUUGGAUUAUCUGCAUAAUCACCACUUAUUUCCUUGUUGUAAUUUUAACUGAUUUUUCGAAGGAGAAUGUUAAAGUCCAAAAGUUGAUUUAAAAAUCGAAUAGAGCCUUGUUGCUUGUAAAGUUACUGGUUUCAACUGUGAGGCAUGUAGAGGGAUUGCGUGAGGGCCAAGAUUAACAAGUUUCGAUUAAAGAUGCGCUUAUGGUGGUGCACUAGUGAGGGUCAGGAUUAAAGUCCCUGAUUAAAGAGGUUUUGUGGUGUGAACUACGAGCUCUUAAAUUCCGACUCUAACCUUAAAAAGAGAAAAAGAGAAAAAGAGAAAAAGAAACAAAGAAAAGGAAGAGUUACACGCGAAUGUGAUGAACUAAUCUUGAGCCUUGUUAACUCUAAAAUAGAAUUUAAGAGUAUUAUUCGAAAGUAAGAUGAUCGGUAAAUUUGAUGGUCCUGUGGUGAAAACUGUUCUCAAGCAUUUUUUUUCUUCGCAUUAAAAUUUUCUUACAUUUUGCUGCCUAGUGGAGGACAUUUUUGUGACUGUUUAGAUCAAUCUGACAACUAGAUCUACCCUUUGUCGUGAUCAACAAAGGUCACUUUGGGUUACAUUUUGGUGUGUAUUAUGUGACAUUAUCUCUCAACUGUGUUGGUGAGACAAUUAAUUGGUAGUAGUAGUAGUAGUAUUAUAUCUUUCCAUUUUUCUCAAAAAAAAUAUCUUUCCAUUUUACUCAAGUAGCUACUGAAAAAAUUUCUUCUUUUUUUUUUUUUUUUUUUUUGAGAAAUAGAUAGCACGCUAUCCGCUUCGUUUAUUCCAUUUAGAAAUAAACUUAGCUGGAAAUGUGAAUCAACUUAGUAUUCGAACUUGGGUCUCGGGUACUGACCCACCAAACCCUUUGCCACUUGCUCUAGAAACCGUCGGUGCUACUGAAAAAAUUUCAGUACUCGAUUCAAGCCACAUAUAUAGCACACAGGGCAACUGCGACCCAAUAAAGGCGUGAUUAUGGCAAAUGCAGUUUUCUUUUUUCUUUUUUCUUUUCUUUUUUUUUUGAACUCCUUUUUUGGGUGGCAUGUGAUUUAUUAAGCACCACAAAUGCAACAGUCCACGUGGUUUUUAAUUUGUGGUAUUAUCGGCCACGUGUUCAAAUGGUCCACUGGGUUUUAUCUGCGGGGUGGCCUUAAAGUUUCUUUGACUGGCUAAUAAUAUUUUAACGAGUCAAGCAAAGCUGAAGAAUCGCUUUCAAAUUCUGCAACGGAGCAUGAUGUUUUGCACAUUAAGAAUGAGGAUUCCAUUUGACCUGAGCUAAGCUUUAGGCGAAUGAGAGAACCACGUGUUGUAGUUGAGAUCCAUUUGGGUUGCUAUCGCUUGCAUUAAACUCUUUUAUUUUUCCCUUUGGAUUUUAUUUACGUUAUAGGUGGUUGUUCUUAUCCGAGAAGCAUGAGAGACUAAAGUUUACACGAAGAGACAACAAAUUACGGGGAGAACUCUCUCGAUGGUGAGAAGAUCCAGCUCUAUUUCAAUGACCUGUAUAUAUACAGAGCGCCAGCAAUAACAACAGUACAAGAUGUAAAAUAUGUCCUAUAUUAUAUAGAACGCCAGCAAUAACAACAGUACAAGAUGCAAAAUCCCAACCUCAUGAUAAGAACAAAUUGAAUUUAAUAUCUCUACGGAACAGAAAUACUAGAAACAGCAGUCAUGCAGAUGCACGAAAUUUGGCACGAGUGCUAAUUAACUGUCUAAAUACUUGGCACGUCAAAAAUACUUUUUUGCCCCGCAGGGGCCAAACUACAAAUAGUGUUAAAUUUAGCCACUUUUUUCUGUACUUUACGCGCCCCCAAAAUGUAAGAUCCGCUCAUAUCGUUUCCGCUGGAAACAAGCUUCUAGUCACAAGGCUGGAAAUACAACCAAAAAAAAAGAAAAAAAAAAGAGAGAGUAUAAAAUCUUCAGAAAACAUACAAGAACAUUCCCCACCAACGUGAUAUAUGGCUUUUUCAUGAAUAAAUAACACAAAGAGGAACACAAGGACACGAUCUAAUCGUCACUGGAGUAUUCAUCCUCCUCUUCAUGCUGCGUCACAACUUUCUCGAUGAACUUCUUACGAACACCUUCAAUAACGGUCUCCCUUGACGAAUCAUUCCCACUUUGGCCAUCAUUAAGCACAGGAUCCGACCGGCAAAGAGCUAAAGCGACAGCUGAAAGGAACACGAUAUUAGUAAUUACCGACAAAUUAUAAUCCUCAUCAUUUGUUUCUCCUCAAAUAACUCCAUAGUACGGGAGCUGUUUCCUCUUUCGUUGCCAAUAAGACUCUCUCAACAAACUCCUACCUUAAGGUUUAGUACAUUAAUUACUAACAAAAGCAACUCUUGCGUGGCAACUCUUUAAUGAUAAAAUUGCACAUGUUUUACUAUCUUAACAGGCAGAGUUUAAAUAUUCCCAUUUGUUAACGAGUCCUAGAUUGUAAACAAACAAAGAAUGUUGUAUCUUGGAAAUGGAUCAGUUACUUGCGGUGUCUUUGCAGUCAUUCAUAUAGCAAAUUCCCCAGCAUUAAUCCAUGACGCAUAUUUAUUCAAUAUAAAUAACCAAAGGCAUUCCUCGAUGAAAGCGCAUAUUGAAGGACAAGUUAGGUGUUAACACAUUCUUCCUUGACAAAGAACCAAAGACAUUGAUUGGAUGUCCUAAUCCUAUGUUUGUACAGAGAACCAACUUUAGCUUCUAUUGAACUCGUUAAGAGACAUUUUUGUUACUACCAUGCGAUAAAUAUAUCCCCUACUCCCAACAGCAAGCAGAAAUGUCUUACUUAUAAAGCCACACACAAAAACACCCUAGAAGAUAAUAAAUUCACCUCAGAUGGCAGUCAAUAUUAUAUUCAAGAAAAUUCCCAGAAGAUGUGGUAAGGUUGGUGGUUUUAUCAGCUAGAAAUUGGCUUUUUUCUCCAUUAUACACCUUUUUAUCUAAGAAGGCUUAGAAACAGCCAUGAAGGAAGAUGAGACACAAAAUCCAACAUGUUUUUUUAAAAUAAAAUAAAAUAAAAUAAAAUAACUCAUUCUUGCAAGACAAACCACAGCCAACAAUAACAUUCAACAUGUGUGUAUAUACGAUGCACGAAAAUGGAGUAGCCUCUAUAAUAUCAAGGAAAACUAAUUAGCAAUGAAUCCAAAUAAUGCUCUUGGUAAUGGAACUUACAUUCAGGUGUGCAUCUCCUUGCACCAAACUGAUGCAACCCCACAAAUGUUCCUUUUACAGCACCAUUAUUGUAAACCAAUAUAGUUGGCAGGUUACGGUCCGGAUAGUUUGGAAUGCAGUCAGUAGAGAUUAUUUUAACAAAUUUGGUUUCUGGAUAUCUGGUAGCCAGUUCUUCCAGGCAACGUAGAAGUAGCCCACAUUCUGGUAUUCUGUCAUCAAAUCAUAAAAGCAAUAAGAAACUACCAAGUCAUACUUAUAAUUAUAUAAACUUGAUCGCAAAUGUAAUAAGUAUACUAAGACCUGAUUGAGGACAAAUAAAAAUCAUAUGAGCAUGAUAAGUUCAAUACAUAUAAUACGAAUUGGUCAAAUAUUGCUAUCCAGAAAUGACAAAGAUUGGAGGUUUAUCAUCUUAUUAUAUAACCACAGCAACAUAUAUACUCUACUAUGUAGGCAAAAUUCAAAAGCCAUGCUACUACAAACAAUAACAAAACGUGCUGACUGCUACACAUUAGGGAUUUCAAGAAUAGGAAGGCAUAAAAAUUAAAAAGCUUAGUUCGCAAAAGAAAUUGUGCAAACGAAUUACUUGCCAUAAAAGAAGAUCAAAAUGGAAAGAAUACAGAAAGAAGAAACUCCCAACGGGAUGCAUUCAAGUAAAACCAUUUUAUAGUUAUUAAUUGGAAUUGGACUGUUUUCAACAGUUUUUUCAGAGCAUGAGAUGCUAGGCUGGAAGAAAAGAAUAACAUAAUUAAUGUCAUAUCUGAAGUAAACUAUAAAUAGGCUGAACCAAGCAAGCUGAGCUAAGUAUAAACAUUGCUUGUUUUUUGAACGAGUAGAGUUAGAGAUGUUUUAUUCGAUUUUGAUUCAAACUGACGUUUGAUCACCAACAGCUUGUGAAGAAUUUUACAAAGAGUAAGGGUAUCAAGGGUCUUACUUAAAUGAACUAUAACUAAAUUCCAUUACAAAGUCUCAAUCCCAACAUGCAAGUAACAUUUUUGUGGCAGCAGCAUUAUUUCCUAUACACAAACAAAGAGAAUGUGAGACUGGUAAAAUAAUUUUGGCACAAACCUAUUUAUUUCUAUUUCCAGCUAAAACCUAUACCCGCAACUAAUGCUAUAGUCAAGAUCCAUUAGCUUACCAAAUGACACAGCGGAGCAAGUGUUUAUUGAGCCAAAUUUCAAUCCAAGCAGUUUCACAAUUUAAUCAUUUGUAACAGUUUGAUCAAUAUCACGAGCAUCAAAUAGUCAAUUCCAGGUUCAAAGAACAAUUGCUUAUCAGCGGAUCUAGGUUCUCCAAAAAACAGAAGGGUGUAACUCAUCUAAGAGAAUAUAAAAUUGGUCGAAUUCUGAAAAAAGAAAAGGGGAGCGAGAUCUCGGCAAAUUACCCAUCCUUGUAGAGAAACACGACGACCCAUACAUCGGGCGGCGCCUGCGACACCUCCCGCACGAAAUCCGAUCCGGAGAUCGGCACCACCGAUCCGAACCGCGCCACCCUCGCCGUCUCCCGCAACUCCGCGAGCCUCUUCUUCCUUCAGCACCAAAUAACGAAACCAUAAUCCCAAUUAGAUGGAAACCAAACAGCAAACAAAUCAAACAGGCGAGGGUAGGGGUUGUGCGAACUCGGAACCUGUACUCUUGGAGGAAGCGAUCGUCGUCGAGGUCGUCCUCGAGGUCCUCGAGCUCCUCGGGGGAGCGCUCGUCGAUCCAAUCCUUGGAUUUGGGGCGGAGAUCGGGAUCGUCAGCGGGGACGAAGGGAGGGGGCUUGAAGGGCGCGGGUUUGGGGGGCAGGUUGCCGAGGCGGCGCUGGAUAUCGUCCCACUGCGUGCUCGCGCCCUCCACGUCCUUGUACACGAAGUGGUAAUCCGCCAUUGACGAGCUCUCUCGCUAGGGCGAUCGAUUCCUCGGAGGAAGCGGCGAGGAAGAAGACGAAGUACACAGGUUUCACCAAUUCACGGUGCUUCUCGAUCCACACCUCCGGAAUAAAAAUGUUUGCGUGAACCGUGGUCUCGAGCCCGAGGACCCCGAGUAACCAAAAUGUAACCCGGUUCGGUUCAACCGUAAUGGGGGCCCAAGGCCAUAUAACCCGGUUCGGUUUUGCUCCCCCUAAAUGGCGGAUGUAAGACAAAUAAGCCUAUAUGUGGGCCUCGCUAGCCCACACGGCCCACGAUCCUUCACUCUUCGAGGCGCCAUGCGAGAAACUUCCCGUCGCACGCCACGUGUCCUCGGACGCGCGCCCCAACUUGCCCACUCCCACCGUCGUGAGGCAUUUGGAACUUUAAAUCAGAACCGUCCAAAUCAUCGCGCUUCGACCAGAAGCGCUCCGGUGCUCCACCGCUUUCAACAUAAAGAGAGGAUUUAAAUAAAAAACGCUGCGACGAUCCCAACCGUUCAUCGUAUCAAAAUCGUCCUUAUCGAACGGGUCUAGAACGCUCCAACAGUUUCCCAUCUAGAAAAAAAAUGGAAAAUUUAAACAAAGUUCAUUUCCUCGUAUAAAGAAUCAACCCCCCAGGAAUAGCUUGUUCUACAUAUAAGCUCUCACUGUACGUGUUUCCACUAAGUAUCGAUCGAGGACGAAGAGAGAAUGGGUCCGGGACUCUACUCCGACAUCGGAAAAAAAGCAAGAGGUAUUUGAUUUCUCCCCCCCUUUUUUCCUCUUUUUUUUGAUGUAUUUUUGGUCAUCCUUGUCGAUUUUUUCUUAUUAUUGUUCGGGCUUCAGAUCUUCUUUACAGGGAUUACCUUACGGAUCAGAAGUUUGCUGUCACUACCGAAACCGCUAAUGGAGUUGUGAGCUAAUUUUUCUCUUGUUUGCUUGAAUUAUUUUUCUUUAUUUUAAAGGUUUUGGGAGUUUUAGUCCACUAGGAUUUAGUUUGCUAAAUUUGUUUUUAUUUAAUAGAUGUUCAUGGAUCGCAAUUAUGGUGCUAUGCUACUAUGAUACUAUGCUAUGAAGUGGUUGUAUCAUCUUAUAUAAGUUUACAAACCGUAUGUUUGCAUUAAUAUGUUAUUAAGUAAUUGGUGAAUGUAUUGUUGCAUUUGGUUUGAAUUCCUUCAAUUCAGUUGCAGGAAACAUGAGAUAUUUUUGUGAUUUUUUGGGUGUAUCAUUUCAGAGUUUAAUUUAUUUGGAGCUUGUUUUGAAGCUCUGUCUCUAUGUCGCACUGCUUGUUCUGCGCCAAUUUGUAUCAGGUGGUGAUUAAGUUGAUAAACUAGUUUGUGUUUUUUUUUGUGUGUGUGUGUUUUUUAAUGCUUUAGUUCUUGAUGAGUAAAUCCAUUGAAGAAAAUGUGACAUGCAUGGUAUAACAGAUCAUUUUUAUGUUACUAUUCUUGCAUUCAUGCAUUUGAUCUCAUCAUGGGGUUUAUAGGACUUUUGAGUUCACCGUAAAUGGACAUGUUCUGAGGAAAAUUAUAGACAGAAAUUAAGAUUGAUUGCUUCACAGGUUUCUGCUCUGAAUAUUUACGGAUGGCAUGCCGACUUUUCUCAUCACAUUCUUCGAGUGUGAUGUUGCUCUAUUUAAUCAUUUAUGCAUGCUCUUUAGAAUUAGCGACUUGCUGGUGAGUGUUUUACUGGAAUGUAGUUGCUGAAAGAUAGUUUCUACUUCCAUCCUUUUCCUCGACUUUAUGAUUUAAUCUCCUCAACCGUUAUUUCCGAACAUUUCCGAGAUUGAAUGAGGACCUUAUGUCAAAUUAGUGACAGAAAUGUAUUUGCUUUCUUUGCAAACCUCAAACUGCCAAAUCAUGAAUGGGGUUCUGUUUUUGUGUCAUCCUGUGUUGUAUGUUAGUUUUCUUGUACAAUUCUCAGUUCAUUCUCUAUUGUGCAUUGCAGGCUAUUACUGCAUCAGGCACAAAGCAAAAUGAUCUUAUUUUGGGCGAGAUCCAUUCUCAGCUAAGGAAUAAGAAUAUUGCUGUCGACAUCAAAGCAAAUUCAGAUGCAAAUGUCAGUUAUACUUUUGACCUCAAUUAUUCUUGCAUCUUGAUAGUCUUCAACCUUAGCAAUUUGCAUGGCAAACAUCGUGUACAGCUUUUUUGUACAACUGGCGAGGCCGUGCUAUCUAAGUUUAUGGGCUUUAAGACUCAUUUAAUUUUUGACCUAAUGUUCUUGUUUGCUUCGUUGUGUAUCUUAGCUUUUGACGACAGUUACUGUUGAUGAACUCGCCACUCCUGGUUUGAGAACAAUAUUCAGCUUCGUAGUACCUGAUCAGAGAUCCGGGAAGGUAGAUCAGAACUGUAUUUGUUUUUGCUAUCCAGCAUUUGAAUUCCAUAGUAGUAAGCCUCCUGUGUACUAUUUUAAGGCUGCUUUUUGUAUUGUUUAUAUGUAUCAAUUAAUGUCCUGUAUUUGUAAAGUUCACGUUUCUCCUCCUCUUUCCCCCCCCCUCCCUGUUUUUUGCAGGUUGAAUUGCAAUACUUGCACGACUAUGCAGGGAUUAGCGGGAGCAUUGGGCUGACCGCUAACCCCCUUAUCAAUCUCUCUGGUGUGGUUGGAAAUAAUGUCUUUGCUCUUGGGGCUGAUGUUUUAUUUGAUUCUGCAACAGGAAACUUCACCAAGUAUAAUGCUGGAUUCAACAUAAUCAACUAUGACCUUAUCGCCUCACUGACCGUGUAAGCAUCUCUAAAGCGAAAUAAUUCUUUGACCCCUUUGUGUAUGGAGUAUUUGCUGGUACUAUUUUUAUUGAAUAAGUGUAAAUAUUGGCUACGAGAGAACUAUUAGCAUAAUGUGUUAGCAUAUUCAAAUAGUGUUUGUUUUGUUUGGGGAAUAACAAAGAUUACCAAGAGCCAUGGGCUACUGGUGUGGGGAUAUCCUACAUUCCUACUUAGGGACUGUCUGUAUAAUUGUUAUCUCAAAGGGAAAGGCUGCAUAUAUUUACAAACACGGUAAAGACAAAAGAGUCGAUUACAGAUUUUAUCUUUAAAACUGAGGUUUCAAGUUCGAAAUCUAGUUGUUUUACAUUCCCAAUUAAGUUUAUUACUAUAAAGAAAUAAACGAUGCCGGUAGCAUGCUACCUUUCUCUCUCUAAAAAAAAAAAGCUUUAAAACUCGGCCUGAUUUGACUACUUUGGAGUUACAUUUGAACAGUUUAAGUCUCUGAUUAGAGGGACUGACUGGUUAAUAUUGACUCUUGCGUAUUUACCGGAAGCUGGGUUCAAAAACUUAAGAGACUAAUUUGUGGUCAAGCCAAGCAUCUGAUCAAUUUGAAACUCCUGUGUGCAGGAAUGAUAAGGGAGACAGCGUUAGUGCUUCGUACUACCAUCUUGUGAGCCCGCUGACGAGCACGGCUGUCGGGGGCGAGCUCACGCACAACUUCUCAACCAAUGAAAAUACUCUAACCUUCGGGACGCAGCAUGCUCUUGAUCCUCUGACUUUGGUGAAGGCUCGAUUCAACAAUUCUGGCAAAGCAAGCGCCCUCAUCCAGCAUGAGUGGAGGCCCAAAUCAUUCGUCACCAUCUCCAGUGAGGUCGACACUAAGGCCAUCGAGAAGAGUGCGAAGGUCGGCUUGGCUUUCCUGCUUCAGCCGUGAUAGAGCACUUUUUCUUGCUGAGUGCGGGUUCUUUAAUAAUGCUUCAUGGAUGUUUCUUAGUUUCUGUUUCGGAGGGUUUCUAAUGUUAUCUUUUGUUCUAGUCUUUUUUUCACUACCAACUUGUACAGAACUUAAAAGCUCUUAAUUCUUAUAGAGCAGUAAGAAUAUCACCAUCCUAGUUCUUAUGCUUCAAAACUAUUAUCAGUUCAGUUCCGUUCAGUUUUUAUUUUCUUGUAAACUCUUUUAACUUUUUUGUAUUAGUGGAUUUGGUAUGUUCUUCCACCAUGUCUCUAGUCUUAAAGUGGUAAGAAGAAAUAACUUUUGUUUCCUCAGAAGUAGAAAUUUUAAUUAAGUGACUUUGAUUUUAAAAUGAAAAAAAUGCUGAAGAUAUUACAAGAUUGUUUUUUUCUUUUCUUUUCUUUUCUUUUUUUUUUUCAGUAGCACUACUAGGUAUGUUUUCUAACAAAACUGCAAUCAAGUGCAUUCUAUUUUAAUUUGGCUCUCAAAAUUCAAUUAUAAUAAUCUUCUGAAGUUUUGCACAGUAAUCAAGUACUACUUCUACAUGUAUAUUGUCUGUGAACGAUUUUGCUCAGCUAAAAUGGAGACUGUGUGCGCCAAAUUGAAACUGGCAUUGAUUUAGUCUUCAGGGAGUACAUAGAAUCAAGAUUCAUUCCAUAAAUUAAAUUGUUACAUCUAAAAUUCUGACUACGAGAUUGAAUUUAAAUCAAACUUUGGUAACUAGACUAGUAAUUAAACCCAUUCAGGAAGUUACUUUUGCUUGGUGCUAUUUUAAUAAAUUAACUUUUUUGAGGGCUACCAUGAAAAAUUAAAAAGAAGAGCCCAACAGCCCAUGUCUCCAAAGAGCAAAGGUUGUAGCAAUCGCCUACAACCGGACUUGUAUACAUUUCCUUCCCCCCCUACUCCGCUCUCAAACCCUACUACCAUUCUCCCUUCCAACACCAUUCUCCUCCACCUUCCUCGAUCCCCCCUUCCAUCUUCUUCCUCUCGGGACUCUGUUCAGCGCGGCCAUGUCCAAAACCCUAGUUCUCCUCCUCUUCCUCUUCCCCUUCUUCUCCUCCGCCGCAUCUUCUCCGGCGAUCGGCCUCGACUCCUUCCUCUCCGACGGUCUCCGCCGCGACCCCGCCGCCGCCAACGACUCCUUCGCCUCCCUCCCAUCCCACCUGAAGAGGUCCCUCCUCUCCCCCUCCCCCUCCUCGGCCCCCUCCCUCGUCUCCCUCCUCCUCUCCCUCGAGAUCUCCGUCCCCGUCUCCGUCAAGCUCGUCGGCCCCUCCUUCGCCUCCGCCGCCCCCUCCCUCCUCUCCUCCUUCGCCUCCGCCGCGGUCUCCUCCGCGCCCUUCCACUCCGUCGCCGCCCCCCACCGCCUCGCCCUCUCCCACGCCCUCCGCCUCGACGUCUCCCCCUCCUCCGCCGCCUCCCCGCUCUCCUCCCGCCUCUCCGACGCCCUCCGGUCCCACCUCGACGCCGCCGCCUCCCCCUUCCACCGCAGCUCCCUCGUCUCCGUCCCCUACUCCCUUGUCGACUCCAUCGUCCAGCAGGAUUUCCACAAGGAGUACCCCACCUCCGCCCCGGCCUUCUACAUCUACUUGAUAAACCUCGGAUCGCAGUCGAAGCCCUACGCCUACUCCUACGACGGCCGUGACGCCUCCCCUGCGUUCUCCAAGUGCCUGGGCACGCUCUGGGCCGGAAAGGAUCGGUAUCUGUGGAUCGAUCUCGCCGCCGGGCCGGUGGACUACGGUCCGGCGCUCUCCGGCGACGGCGUCCUCCCCCGAGGUGAGUUCCACCCUCUCACCUCCGUCCACGGCCGGCCCAAGUCGGAACGGGCGCUUCUCUCCGAUCUCGCCUCCUUAGUUCUCAGUGCGUACAAAACCCUCCUGGUCCCUUCUUUGAGAAUCCCUGUAUACUACGAGAACACACUCCUGAUCCAGUUUGUUCACAUUCACGGAUCGGACGCCAAGGAUCCCUCUGGUCUCGAUUGGAAUGUUGUGGAGCAGACGCUCAAAGAGAGCGAUCUGGCCUACAAGGGUCAAUCUUUAGCCUUCAAAUCAUAUUCCAUCAAGUAUUCCGAAUGCCCUAUGUGUUCGUUCGCAAUUGCUAGGUCGACAAACUCGUUCACUUCGAGGUUCCUCUUCGAGAACUACACUUUGAUCGUGAGCGAGUAUUUGGAUUCGAAGCGGCUGAGGCAAAUACUAUCGGAUUCAUCAGAAGAGAUGCACCGAUCAGCAGGCAUCGGAGAAGAGGAUUAUGCUAAAAUUUUGCCUGUUUACGUCUUUGAUUUGGACUACGAUAAGCUUCUCUUGCUAGAUAGGUACCACCAAGCUGUCGCUUUUAGGGACAUGGUAGUCGCUGUGAGGACGAGGAGCUCGCAGACUGUGAGCGACUACAGCUGCAACGGGCGGCACGUCAUCACGCAGACACGAAAUUUGGAACGUCCGAUCAUUGGUUCGGUUCUUCAGAGCAUGUGGGGUGUCUCGCCAACCCACUUAUUAUGGAGUCCCGAGCAUAAUAGUACGUUAGUGGAUUACACAUGGAGUGUUGGCCAAACUCCUUUUGGGCCUUUCUCUGAUGCUUUAUCUCUGUCCUUUGUUCAAAGAGAUGCAGCUCGAAGGAACGUUCUUCUAACCACUCUGAAUUUUACGAUUACCAGUGCGCUCGAUGUGUUGGAAUCCAUGGCUGCCCAUGGUGGCGAUAGGAAGCUUCUUAAGAAGAAUAGAUAUGUACAGUUUGUUCAGAGGUGGAAUUUGCUCAAGUUCAAGUUGGAUAAGGUGGUCUCUGCUAUGUCCCAAUUGGAUUUUGACAAGGCAAUGUACUUUCUGAGGUCUUCAGAUCAUGAUCUUUAUGCCAUUCACACUUUGGUGUAUGAGGCGUCUCAAGAGCUAGAGGCUUCAUUAGUCUGUUUUAAAGACCCGCCAUUUCCAUGGGCUUCUGUAUCCUUAUCUGGGGUGUUUGUUUUUGGUUUCUUUUACGUUUAUGCUAAGAGGGACAAGAUAUUUAGAAGUAAGAGGAAGCAGUUCUGAUAGUUAUAAAAAGUUUUUACGAGAGAGAUUUUGUCCAUUUGUGAACAAAUUUACUGCCAUGAGGCUUCUUGAAGAUGAUCCUGGUUUGAUACUGGAUGUCGGCAUCAAAUUGAGCAUAUUAAAUUUGGAUGAUGUCAUUCUUGGGGAAGUCUGUUCUUCCAAUAUAUUUUUUCCGGUGAAAUCACAGUUAGAUGAAGAACUCAUAUAUGCGCACUUAUCUGGAUAAUACUCGAAGGUGAUAGCUUUAUCUGGAUCCUCAACUCGUAACAUUAUCUUGUACCAGAUGUCCUUGUUUUUCUCAUCUUGGUAGUCUACUGGAGAAGUUGCAGGAUGAAGUAGUUAUCACAGAUGAUUAUUUGCAUAAGUGUUGAACACAAAGGCUUCUUAGGGAUUUGCCUUUGAUGGCAAAAGUUGUGAUUCUGCUUUAAUUACUGUUUGAUUUUUAUUCUGAAACAUCUCCGGCACUGAUCUUGUUUUCCUCUUUUAAGAAUUUGCAAUAAUGCAGCUUGUUUGGUGAUUUCUUUUCUCUCUUUGAACUUUGAAGAGGUAUUAAGGAGUUUCUGAUCAUGGAAGAGCGGGCCGUUUGCCACGACAAACCGCGUGAUUGAGUGCUCUACUCUUCUUAUCAUUAAUUCCUUUUAGGGCCUUAUGCAUUUACUUCUAUUUACUGUUACUGAAGUAGUUAGGAAAGAGGAAGAAGUUUUCUUUCCGUAGUUACAGGAAGCAAAAUGAUUUCUUGUAUGAAAUAGAGCUUCUAUCAGGAUCUUUUUCUUUCCUCUUGUCCUUCCCCGCAGCAAUUUCCGACAUAAGUGAAAUCAUUUUGAAGAUUUUCUUUUUCACUUUAUCAAUCCUUAGCUACUAAAUUUUAUUUUGCAAAGCUAAUGUGAUUCUUAAAACAAAUUUAGUUUGAUUUAUUUCGCUUGCUUUUAGAUGAGCAACUAAAAACUAAUUUAGUUUUGAUUUGUUUCUCUUGCAAAGCACAAUUGUUCCAUUGUUCAUCAGUAUUUCUAUAUGCUGUUUGUUCUAUUGUUCUCUUUUUAGCAAGCAAAAAUCUAUUUAUAUGCUGGGUUUGUUGUGCUUGCUGUGUUUUGCUCUAAUCUAAUCCUUUUGAUUUUUGCAUUUGUUUUCAUAAUACAUUGACAGGAAGAUCUUCUUUUUAUGUGCAUUAUUAUUAGCAUUUCUGUAUCCUGUAGUCGAGAACAUAUAUGACGAAUAUAUCAUGAAGAUACUUCUUGGGAAUUCAUGUUUCCGAGGCAACUGAACUUAUGAAAGCGAAUUUUAAAAUUUUUUUUAUUGUUAUCGUGUGAACUAUCAAAUUGUAUCAAUCAAAUUUGUUGGUUGGUUUUUGUGUUUACAUGUCUAAGCAUAGCUGCUUGUUGGUACCGAAUACUCUUUAUGUUGUCUCCACUAUAUUCCGUAUUUUUCCUGUAUAAAAUCACAUGGAUGUGGUGAUGAUGCUGCUUCCCUGUUGUUUUGCUAGCUUAUUAUGUGUUGUCGUUCUGAGGCUUGACCAGGAUCACCGUGAGUGAACCUGAGAGAAAACACGUCUAAUGAUCAGCUAAAAAUUUUAAUCAAGAAUUCAAAAGAACUUACUAAUUGGAAGGGCUCAUCACCAAUAUGCCAUUUUAAUAAGAUGCAUAAAUUUAUUUAUUUAUUUUUUUGAUUGGUACCAUUAUGUCUUUUCUUUUUUUUAAUUUAAAUUAUAUUUUAUCAAUUAUAUGAUAAAUUUUCUGAAAUCCCAAGAAGAUUCUGAUAAAUUUUAUUACUUCCAAUGCCUUUUUCAACUGAUGGAAUUGCGGACUUCACGAACUGUCAAUUGACAUGUUGCAUUUAAUGAAUCUUCAAUUCUAUUGGUGAAAAAAUUGUCAAUAAAAAAAAAUCAUUACUAUCGAUCGAUGGAGAAAUUUGGCUAUUUUAUUGGCCAAUUUGCAUAAAAAAUUCACUUAUUUUGGGCUUUUGCAAAAUCGGGCAACCUUUUUCGUUUUUGCAGAUUCGGUCCACUUUUUCAGCAAACUGACCAAAAUACCCUUUUUACUUUUUCUCUUUCCUCUUUCUCUCUCCUCUUCGUUUCUCUCGUUCUUUUUUUUUCUCGCCGGCAGAGCGGAGGCGGAAACGGUCCGUCUCGCCUCUCACCCUCAUUCUCUAGCCCUCGCCCUCGCCCUCGCCCUUGCCCUCGUCCACGCACCCCCCACCUUCCUCGCCUCCAACCCCGCCAAGGCCGCGCCACUAUUUUUUUUUUUUUUGCUUUUUUCUUUUCUUUUCUUCUCCGACUCUUCUCCACCGUCUCCGACGACGAUGCCUCUCUCGUCCUUCUCGUCCUUCCCCGCCCUUCUCAUCUCUCCCUCUCCCUCAUUCUCUGCCGCCUCCGACGACGAUGCAUCUUCGCCGGCGCCGACGUCGACACCGUGGAGGUCACUGCGGCGCUACAGGCUCGGAGCGGGGGUCCUUAGCGGUGUCGUCGCCGACACCGUGACUGUUGGCAGAGAAGGUGACAAAAAAAAAUUAUAGAAAAAAUAGAAAAAAAAAAUAAAGAUAAAAAAUUAUAUAAAAAGAAGGAUGAACAUCACAUUGUAUCGUUAACUGCAAAAAAAAUUAUAAGUUGUACUAUUUAAGAUGUAAACUGCAGCUUUAAGAUGAAAACUACACUCUUUAAAUGAAAAUUACACUCUUUGAGAAAUAUUUACACUGUUUCUCUUCUUAUUACACUCUUUCAGAUGUAAACUGCAUCCAUUAAGAUGAAAAUUACACUCUUUAAACAAAAGUUGCACUGUUUCUCCUCUUGUUGCACCAUUUCUCCUCUUGUUACACUAUUUUUUAUACUAAACUGUACCCUUUUAAGAGAUAUUUAUACUGUUUCUACUCUUGUUGCACCAUUUCUGUGUAAAUAAAAGGAGAAAUAGUGCAACAAGAGGAGAAACAGUGCAAGAAGAGAAGAAACUGCACUGUUUUAAGAGAUAUAUAUACUUUUUCUCCUCUUGUUGCACUAUUUCUGUGUAAACAAUAGGAGAAAUAGUGCAACAAGAGGAGAAACUGCACUGUUUUAAGAGAUAUAUCUCCUGUUUCUUCUCUUGUUGCACUGUUUCUCCUCUUGUUGCACCAUUUCUGUUAAACAAUAGGAGAAAUAGUGCAACAAGAGGAGAAACAAUGCAAUAAGAGGAGAAACUGCACCCUUUUAGAGAUAUUUAUACUGUUUCUUCUCUUGUUGCACACAUUCUGUAUAAAUAAGAGGAGAAAUAGUGCAAUAACAGGAGAAACAGUGCACACAAGAGGAGAAACAGUAUAAAUAUCACUUAAAAGGAUGCAGUUUAAGAUAAAAAAUAGUAUAAUUUCGUUCAAAGAGAUAUAAUUUUUAUCUUAAAGCAGCAGUUUACAUCUUAAAUAGUGACAUUAUAAUUUUUUUUGUAAUUAACGAUGUAAUUUAUUUUCAUCCUUCUUUCAUAUAAUUUUUUAUCUUUAUUUUUUUUUCUGUUUUUUCUAUAAUUUUUUUUUCACUUUCUCUGCCAACAGCUACGGCGCUGGUAACGGCGCCGGUGACGACGCUGCUAAGGACCCCCUCUCCGAGGCUGUAGCGCCGCAGUGACUCUACGGUGUCGACGUCGGCGCCGGCGAAGAUAAAUCGUCGUCAGAGGCGGCAGAAAAUGAGGAGAGGAGAGAUGAGAAGGCGGGAAGGGCGAGAGGCGUCGUCGUCGGAGACGGUGGAGAAGAUGUCGAGAGAAAAAAAAAAAAAGAAAAAAGCUAAAAAAAAAAAAGUCGCGGCGCGGCCUUAACGGGGUCGGAGGCGAGGAAGGUGGGGGAUGCAUGGACGAGGGCAAGGCGAGGCGAGAGCAUGAGAGUGAGAGGCGAGACGGACCGUUUUGCCUCCGCUCCGCCUAGGGGUGGAACUGGGCCGGCUUGGUCGGGUAUUACUAUACCAAGCCCGACCCAAAAAAAAUGUUGGGCUUCGGGUCGGGCUUUUACCUAUUUUUUAAAAAAAUUAAGGCCCGCGCCAAACCCAAGCCAAUGCCAAUACCCAUCGGGCUUUGUGGAGGCCAUUUUAUGCAUUUAUUCAUAUAAUAUAUGAAUACUUUUAUUUGAUAUAAAAUUAAAAUAAAAUACCUAUUUUUAGUUUUAUCACAUCAAAGAAAUUAAUAUCUAAGAUCAAAUAUAUCAUAAUAUAGAACUAAAUAUUUUGUUAAUAUAUAAUAUAUCCUCAUAUAUAUAAGUACAUAUCAUUAAUAACAAUAUAUACUAUAUAUGAUAUACUAUAUCAUUUAUUUCUUUUAAUAGAUAAAUAAUAUAUAUAAUUAAAUAUUUUAUUUUGAUAAUUAAUAUAUCGGGCUUUUGGGUCGGGCUCGGGUCGGGCUUGGACAUGCCCAAAUAGGCCCAAAAUUUUUUCGGGCCUAAAUUUUUAAACCCGGCCCGAACCCAAAGUUGUAUUUUUAAUACCCAAAGCCCGACCCAAACAUGGCCCAUCGGGCCGGGCCUUGUUUAGGCCCGGGCCCAGUUCCACCCCUAGCUCCGCCUCCGCUCCGCCUCCGCUCUACCGGUAAGAAAAAAAAAAGAACGAGAGAAACGAAGACGAAGAGGAGAGAGAAAGAGGAAAGAGAAAAAGUAAAAAGGGUAUUUUGGUCAGUUUGCUGAAAAAGUGGACCAAAUCUGCAAAAACGAAAAAGGUGGCCCGAUUUUGCAAAAACCCAAAAUAAGUGGAUUUUUUAUGCAAAUUGGCCUAUUUUAUUUGCAACUUUUAAACUAAUUACACUUUAUAAAAUAUUAACUCCUGUGAAAGAAAAAAAAAAAUGUAAAACGUAACCGAGAUAUAAAAGCUUAGAUGGAAGAUAUGGUUUAGACAGAAAGAUACUCUUACAUGGAUGUUUAAGUGUCAUCUUCAUUCAAUUUCAGAUUACAAUAGCAAUAUUAUCCAUUUCAAAAAUAGAUGUUCGCUAUGCAUCUUUAAUUGCGAAAGUUAAAACCGCAGGGACCAAAUCAGUGGUGCUUUAUUCAAACUUACGAGGACUAAAAACGUAACUAACGGUGUGCAUAACUCAAAGGUCCAUCAAACACAUAAUAUAAUAUUAAUUUCAUCGAAAUAUAUAAAGUGCCAUUACAAUAUAGAAGGCCAAUGCCUUAUAACUGGGACCUGAUAUAGAGUACUGGCCCCACUACUUGAUAGGAAGUCCUCGUUGGCUCAUAUCCCGUUAUUUCUUCUUCAUCUUUUCCCUUUUAUUCUAUAAUCUCGCUGUUAUACAAAUAUCACGCAGUCUCUCACCUUAAGGUUUCCCAGGAGGCCCUGCAACAUCAACAAAUGAAGAUAUAUUAUUGGAUAAUAUGAAAAGGCUAAAUUGGGCAAGUAGUCGCUGAAUUUUCAGCGAAGCUUCAUUUUGGUCUUUGAACUUUCAAUUUCGAUAUUAUUGGUUCCUACACUUUUAAAGUCAUGUGUUGCUUCGGUCCUUUCAUAUAUAUACUAGUAUUUUUACAUUUUUACAUUAAUCCCCUAUAUAUGUACUGUAUCUAUAUAUCUAUGCACCACGAGCUUAUCAACUGUUUUCUUGUUCAAUCCUGCCACUCGUUAAGUUAUAAGUUUUUUAGUAUAAAAAUUAGAUUUCUAAAUUGGAAGUAUGAAACAGACGAAGAAAUGAUGAAUUCAGAGUGCGAGCAAUAACUUUUAAUCUAAGAUUAGGACUAAAAUGAAGUAUUUUUAAAAGUUUAAAACAAAAUUGAAAACCUACCGGAAGGAAAUCUGGUAGCAGGAAUGCCUGCAGCAGGCGCUCUGGUAUAGGGAUUGCCCCGAGUAGUUCCUCUCGUAUAAUUAUAAGGCUCACCCCGUGGUUCAUCCAUAGUGCCCAAUGUAUCCUUGUCUCCUACAAGAGUUGCAACAUCAAUUCCUGAUGAUAUAUAGAUAAUAAAUUAAACAACAGCACUUAAUCAGGUCACUCAUCAAAAUACAACGCUGCAAUAGUCUCACAUUGGAUAAAAGAAUAGUUCUAAUUGAAAUAUGUAACGUCUCACGCCCUAGUAAUAAUAACUCGGCUUAAACAUUCUCAGACCGGCGGUUUGGGUCCGACGAGUUAUUUUGCUAGCGAGCCGGAUCGUCACAGUUAGUGGAGAUGUAAUUUGCAUUGCAUGAAAUGCGCGGCUGGUGUCGAAAGCGUGUACUAAUUUCUCGUGCAGUGGGACUGCUCAAAAUUUGCUGUACCUGAAUGCUCAGGUUGUGGCAGGGGCGGAGAAGGUGUCAACCAAGCGUGACGUCCUGCAUACGAAGAAGGAAAACGAGGACGAGAAAAGCCAUUAGCUACUAGUUCAUGUAGAAAAAAAAUUUGUGCGGAGUUUGCUUAUGCUUGCUUACACAUUCUUCGACAGUUCAUUUCACAUGUUGAGGUGGAGGGCCUUAACUUAGAUGGCUAGUAUGAUUGGCAAGGAAUGUGAUAUAAUUUAUGAUCAAAAAGUUAAUAUUAGAGUAACCAAAAAAAUGAAAGGAGAAAAAAAAAAAAAAAAGAGAAUUGUAGAACUUUUCAAAUGGAUUGAGUAUUUUUCAAUCGAUGAUGGCAAUGAUAGAAGACGAUGUUAGUAUAUGAAGCAAACUAACUGAGGGAAUGUGGUCAGAAUGCAUACUCACCGGUCCAAGGAGGCGACGGUGUUAGCCAAAUAACUCUAGCAGCUGUUGCAGAGUGGACGAGAUAGCCACUCAGUAGCAAGAAGAAGGUUAAGAUGGAAUAAGCAGCUUUGGUGGCCAUCUUAAUUCCUCUGAUCUAUGUUUUUUUACCUUCAAUAGAGGGGUGGAUUCUCACCUUUUUAUAGCCCUUGGGGGGACCUUAGUUCGUUUUGUCAUAUGUUUCGGUCCGAUUGUCAAAUUUUCAUUAGAAAAAAAGGGUUGCAUUUACUGUAGGGAUUGAACACACACACAUGAGAUGAAUGAAUAAACAGAUAGACGGCGCACCAGUGUGCAGAUGCAUCUGGCGUAGGCAGCGAUUCGAUUUCAUGUGAGACAGCAAGUCGGCUCUGAAAGAGAAAGUAAACGGAAACUUUGACAGAGUCAAAGAGAAAUCCAGAUCCUAUACAAUCAAGAACAAAAUUCUGGACACAAAUUUGAAAGUGUUAAACCAGAUAUUUUGUAUUGGAUUCGGAGAGGACGACUAUGAAGAAAUUUCACUAGCCAAUUUGCAACUUACCAAAUUAAUAACCUCCUAUUGGUUCCUGUGGAGAAAUUAUAGAGAGUAGACAAACUAAAAGACUUGAAUGGGAUAGUUGGUGCAGAAAAAAAAGACACUCUAACUUGCGAGGCACGGCAGAAAGUGUUUUAAUUACCAUGAUAGCAACACAAUUGGAGGGCAUUCAUCAAGUAGCUUGUUUACUAGAGCCGAGUCCUACGUUGGAACAAUUUUUCUACAAACUACUUGUCUUGUGUAGUAGUUUUCUUUCAUGAUUACAUUUUUUUUUUUUUUUUUUUUUUUUACUUCUGAUUUUUAACCUACUGUUAGUUAAAAAUUUCGAACUUUCGAGAUUGUAAGUUUUAUCUUCUAUUCUAAAUAAUAUAGAGGCCGUAUGUAUGUAGUAUGUGAUUGUAGACAUAUUUCUGUACCUCUCCUCAACCAGUUAUCAUAUACUGUAGUCAUUUAGACGUGAGCGCGCACAAACACACAGCAAGUCUUCUAGUGAGGUCUUCUAUUUUUGCCUCUGGUCUCCUGCCAAAGAAAGGUCAUGCUACACUUUUCAUUACUGAUUGAGUAGUCCGAUUUAGUAGUCUUUUUUCCAUCUGUUAGUAGAGAAUUGAAUAGCCUUGGAGUGUCUUCUUUAUUAGUAGACCCAAGUCUAUGCCCCUCUUGCUCGAGAAAGCUGUUGGAUCGUUGGCGCUAACCAUUAAUCCCAAAACCUCGAGCUGUUAGAAAUACGCAACCAAUUCACUUAAAGCGUACAGAUACAGCGCUCACGGGUCUCAAUUGUGACCCGGCCCAACCAGCCUCAUGCCACUUCGAACAUGACUCGGCCUAACCCAACCUCACGCCAUUUAAAACAUAAUUCGGCCCACAUGGCCUCCCGCCACAGGGCGGGAUGCUGGAUCAUUUAAGCCAACAAAAGCAACAGUAAAAAUAAAAAUAAAGAAGUUUGGAAAGAAAAUUUAGAAAAAAAAAUUAUGCUGGCCAUCUAUUUGCUGAUGGAAAAAUUAGUAUAAUGCUAUUGGUGUUUCAGUGUCAGUGGUUUAGUUCUCAAAGUUGGAGUCUGACUCUAGUUCAGUGUCAGUGGUUUUGUUCUUAAAGUUUGUAUGAGAGGUUAAUUUUGUAAUUUCGAAUGCUUUUCUCAAUUAAUGAAUCUUCAAUUCGGUUUAGACAAUAUUCAAAUUAAAAAAAAAUUAAGGUAAAAAAAACAUCAAUAAGAAAAGCCAUUCAUACAAUUGCGCUUGGAUAGGUAUAUAACUUUAAGCAAUUUAAAGUUUUUGUGUGCAUGCGAACAGAAGAAUUUCUUUGGGAUAAUAUUUUUCAUCUUGGAGUUUAUGUUGAGAUAAUCUUUCGCAAUUUAUUUUCUUUGGCCUUCUUUUUUUCACAAAUAAAAUGGAGCAAUAGGUAGUAAACGCUCCCUUUCUGAAGAUUAUGAUCACUAGGGAGUAAUUGUCAGAUUCUUACAGCAUUUUACCCAAUAGAUUUAGUUAUACUUGAUUUUUUCUUGCUCGUGGUUUGGCACCUGUGGACGACAAUUGAAUUAACUAUAAAUAGAGUUCCUAGCAAACUAACUUUCCAUGCAAUAUCUAUCUGAGAUUUCUAAUUAUUCUACAUUUCAUUCAUUCGCGUGCUCGGCUUACCGAAUUCCCCACUUUCUGCUAUCCCAGGUUACUUUGCCGUUGAUCCGGACUCCACAACCGGAAAGCGAGUCUUCCACCGAACUGUUACUCCACGCGAUUCUUAUUCGAAGUGCGCAGAAACAAAUAGGAUCAGCUACACCAUUGUAGCCAUUCUUUUUUGAUUAAACAGGGAUAAACCCUAUUUUACAGAGGAUUGUAGCCAUUCUUAUCCAACUAGUCUUUAAAACCGAAAGAAGGAAAAGGAAAAGAUUACUGGGUUCUUGAAGAGUGACAAAUUACAGUGUUUUAGUUAUUUAUGGUACAAUAUUGGAGUUGAGAAUAUGUGGAUUUGCAGAUAAUACUGAUGUUUAUAAUUUUCAAGUUCCUGGAAUUCGUUCAUCAUGAAUGACUCCUUUGAUUCUUUAAUGGCUGAAACGCGCGUAAUUGAAAAAUAUAAGAUGGAUUGGAGGUUUGAUGGAUUGACAGAUAAAAAGUGGCUGGAUGUAGAGAUGCAGGGGAUGCAACCAAAAAUUAUUUAUACGCGCGUCAGAGAGAGAGAGAGGAUUUGGUGUAGACGGAAUACGCUCUUACACAGAUGUUAAAGUAUCAUCUCAGUUUAAUUUCAGACUUCAAUAGCAAAUGAAAUACACUGUUGUGUGGAUGUUUAAGUGUCAUCUCCUUUUCUUCUUCUUUUUUGCUUAAUUGUUAUCUUUUUCAAAAGGUAGAACUUAAGUAUGCUUUUUUAAUUGCAAAUUUUAAAAUUGCAGGGACCAAAUUGGCGCUCUAUUCAAACUUCUAGGAGUAAAAAUGUAAUAAGCCCAAAAGUCCAUCAAACACAUAUAAUAUAAUAUUAAUUUCAUUGGAAAUAUACGUAGUAUUUCAACACAGGAGACAAGGCCUUCAGUACAGGCAUGUUAUUUGAUAUACAAGACCUCACAGGCUCAUAUUCCAUUAUUUCCUUUUCAUAUUUUCUCUCACUUUUAUUAUAUGAUCUCAUACCGUUAUGCAAAUAUCAUUCCAACUAGUUAAAAUCACUUCAGGAAUACGCAUGCAGUUUCUUCAAAGGUAUCUAUCUAUGGUUUCCCAGCUGCAGGGGGUUCACGGCACCUGUAAUAGGUUCCACAACCGUGAGGAGUAUAGCUUCCACCAGGGUUCGCAUGCGGGUGCCAUUUCGGGUUCAGGGGACCAUAACUCACAGCAGGCUCUGCAUCAUCAACGAAUGAAGAUAUAUUUUUUUUGAGAAAAAGGUAGCAUGCUACCCGCUUCAUUCAAUAAGUAGAUGAAAUAAGCAACAUGAGUGAGGCAUCAAGGCCUCAAGGAAGACGGAAGCAAAAAACGAAAAAACAGUAUAGUGGAAGAUAUUUGCAAACUACGGCAGAUUCUCCUACACUAGCUACGAGGUCUAUCAGCAGCUCUACGGGUCACGAGCACCCCACUGAGCUAUCAGGUGUUUGAUCUUAUGAGUCCCCCGGAUCGGAUCGGCCUGGGCCUUCGCGAAGAUGACUCCAUUUCUAGUCUCCCAAGCCACCCACCAGCAAGCGAUAAUACCGCUUAAGUCAUUAUUCGAACCCUUCCGAUCCCUCCAUAUAUCCCACAGGCGGUGUACGUCAUCUCCCAACUCUCCUAGCUGGACAUCCUCAAGCGACAUAGCCAUAAGGAAUCUGACCAGAGCGCAUUGUGUGAAAAGAUGAUCAAGCGUUUCUAGUUCCGACCCGCAGAGUACGCAACUUGUAUUCCCCGUCCACCCUUUUUUCAAUAGGUUGUCCAUAGUGGGUAACCUUUUUCUGAGCACGAGCCAACAGAAGACCUUCACUUUCAGGGGGAUACGGAGCCUCCAGAUGUCGAAAGUCCUGUAAUCCCUUGUUCCCCCAUUAUUUAGCAUAGUGUAAGUAGAUCUUACUGAAAAACGUCCGUCCGAGGUCCACCGCCAGUACACACUGUCCGUUCCUUGUUGAGUCCCGAAGGUAGAAAUCUUUUCCUUUAAGGCCUCGAUGCUCUGCUGGACUCUGUGGUCUGAAGUGUUGACACCCCGUAGGAUCUUGUUCCAGCACCAUUCGUUUCCAUUGGAGUAAUGGCUGAUUAACCUGGUUUUAUGGGGUGGGAAGGGGGAUAGCUCCGGAAAGGAUGACGAAAGUGCGGUUUCCCCACACCAUCGGUCGGCCCAAAAAUCAACUCUUUGCCCAUUUCCCAAAAUGUAGGAGACUCCCCAUUUAAAUAUAUCUUUCUGUCCAAGUACUCCCUUCCACCAAAAAGAAGAAGGUCUGAAGCUCCUCCCCUCCUUCAAUGGUCUUCUCCUUGGGUAAAACAGCGCGUGGAUUAAUUUGUUCCACUGUAGGUUAGGCAUCGUUAGGAGUUUCCACCACCAUUUAACAAGGAGUGCUUGGUUCAUCGAAGCUAAAUCUAGGAUGCCGAGCCCCCCUUCCUCCUUGCUCCGGCAAACACACUUCCAAGCCACGAGGCAUCCCUUUCCAGGUGGCCCGGUGUUACCUUUCCAGAAGAAAUCCCGCCGUAGCGCCUCGAUUCUCUUAACAACCCAGUUGGGUGUAUGGAACACAGUGAGGAAGUGUAUGGGUAGGUUAGUUAGAACAGCGUUAACCAGGACGAGUCUGCCCCCCCGCGAAAGCAGUUUCGCUUGCCAUCCAUCGAUUCUACUCUGGAUCUUAGAGAUGAUCCCUCUCCAAUCCUCCUUAGAUGGGGGUCUGGUCGUCAAUGGCAAUCCCAAAUACUUGGUAGGUAAGGUACCAAGUUUGCAUCCGAGUAUAUGCGCUAACCGACUGGCUUUACCUUCCGCCGACCCCAAAUAAAAAAGUUCAGACUUAUCUUUGUUAAUCCUCAUUCCGGAGGCCCAUUCGAAGAGUUUCCACAGAAAAAUGAGGUUUCUCAUAAAUCUCUUCUUGGCUUCGCAGAAGAAGAACGUGUCGUCAGCGAAUUGGAUAAUGUGGACUCUUGAAUCGUCGGAGGGGCCAAUACCGCAGAUGAGGUUUUUCGUUGCCGCCCCGUCUGUUAGCCUGGUAAGACAAUCUGCUAUGAGUAGAAAGAGGAAAGGUGAAAGUAGGUCCCCCUGCCGUAAUCCCCUUUUCGUCUUGAUCCAGUUUGUUGGUACACCAUUGACCAGAACUGCAACUUUAGCACUACAAACGCAUAAUUUGACCCAGUUAAUCCACUUCCUGUCGAAUCCCCACCACUCCAUGAUGCGAAAAAGGAAAGGCCAAUAGAUUCGGUCAUAAGCCUUCUCGAAGUCCACUUUUAUCCCAACUCCCUCCAUCCCCAGCUUACUUCCCCAACCAAAAAGUUCGCGCACCGUCACGAAAGCAUCGGAAAUGUUUCUUCCCUUCAGAAAGGCUGAUUGGGAAUCUGAAAUCAGGGUCCCCAUGAUGCUCUCCAAGCGAUUAGUUAAAACCUUGGAUAAUAUCUUAUGUAUCCCGUUCGUGAGACUAAUAGGGCGAAAAUCAUUUGCUCGGUUGGCCGCUUCCUUCUUCGGGAUUAAACAAAUGUAAGCAUAAUCGAUCGGACCGGUGUUUAGCGUGCCCUCAAACAUCUCAUGGAAAAUGUUCAUGAUAUCGUCCUUAAGAGUAUCCCAGAAGCUUUGAUAGAAGCACAGGGGGAAACCGUCUGGCCCUGGCGCCUUAUCUCGCCCUAGCUGGAAGACGGCCUGUUUCACUUCUUCAGCGCCAAAAGGUCUCGUAAUAUGCGCAAGGUUGCUCGUAUCGACCCGCCUAGGAUGAAGAUAUAUUAUUUAUUGGAUAAUAAGAAAAGGGAUAAAUUGGACUACUAGUUCCUGAACUUACAGCCAAGCUUUAUUUUGUUUGGUGUCUGGACUCUGGACUUUCAAAUACAAGAUGAGUUGUUCCUACAUUUUUUUUUUUUUUUUUUAUAUUUACUAUAAAGAUAAAUUAUCACAUUAGCAUAAGCAAAGUAUUAUAGAACUUUUUAAAUGGAUUGAAUGCUAAUUGUUUCAAUCAAUGAUGGCAAUAAUAGAGGACGAUGUUAUAUAUAUACGAAGCAAACUAAUUGAGAGAAUAUGAUCAGAAUAUAUGCUCACCUUCUGUGACAGCUCUAGCAGCUGUUGCAGAGUGGAUGAGAUAGCCACUCAGUAGCAAGACGAAGAAGAAUGUUAAGAUGGGAUAAGCAGCUUUGGUGGCCAUCUUAAUUCCUCUGAGAUAUGUUUACCUUCAGUAGAGGGGUGGAUUCUCACCUUUUUAUAGCCCUGCGGGUGUCAGGCCACGGAGAAAUUUUGCUAGCUAAUUUGCAAUUUACUAAAUUAAUAACCUCCUAUUAAUUAGCUCCUGUGGAAAAAUUAUGAAGAGUCGACAAUUGAAAAGACUUGAAUGGAAAACUUUGUGCGAAAAAAAAGACACUCUAACUUGUGAGGCACAGGAGAAUUGUUGAAUCAAUCAGUUAAUGUGAUAGCAACGCAAUUGGAGGACAUUCAUCAAGUUAUCCUCACUGGGAACCAGAAUGCUUCAGUUGCUUUUUUACUGGAACCUAGUCCUACAUCAGAUCAACUUAUCUGCAAACUACCUUUCCUAUACAGUAAUUAUGAUUACAUUUUUUACUUUUGAUUUUUAACCUACAAUUAGUUAAUAAUUUCGAACUUUUGAGAUCGAAAGUUUUAUCUUGUAUUCUAAAUAAUUUAGAGGCCGUUUGUGGUAUGUGAUUGUGGACAUCUUUUUAUACUUCUUAUCAACCAAUUAUCAUAUACUUGUAGAUCAUUUGAAACAACAAAUAUCUUCUCAUGUUACUCAUCCAUUCGCGCGCGCACACAAACACACUACUAGUCUUCUAGUGAGGUCUUCUAUUUCUGCCUUUUAGUCUCCUGCCAAAGAAAGGUCAGGCCAUACUUUUCACUACUGCUUGAGUGGUCCGAUUUAGUAGUCUUUUUUCCGUCUGUUAGUAGAGAAUUGAAUAGCCCUCGAGUGUCUUCUUAUUAGACCCAAGUCUACGCCAAGUUUUAGAAAAUGAAAAAGAAAAGUUCGAAAGAAAUGUCAAAGAAAAUUUUACUGAUCAUCUGUUUGCCAAAAGAAAGAAUUAGUAUAAUGCUAUUGGUGUUUUAGUAUGUUUUUUUAUUACUCUUUUAGAAAGAGAAAAAUAGCAUGCUUUUCAUUUCGUUCAUUUUGUUUAAAAAAUUAAAUUAGCGGGAGAUGCAAAGCAACAAAACUUCGACUUUGGGGGUGUUUCAGAAUGUCAAGAAUUAAAUUUGUCUGGAUAACCAUUUAUCACUGGUUUAGUUUUCAAAGUUAGUAUCAAACUCAAGUUGACGACACAAAUUUAAGAAUUUUUUUCAUGCAUAUAGAAUUGAUUGCCCCUUUGAAUAAUAUUCAGGAUACAAAUAUGAGAUAUACGACGCAUCACUCGAAUCUUUAACCAACGUAGUAGCAAUUUGUAUAGGAAACCAACAAUACUUGGUUGUAGCCUAACUUAGUACCAAUUAGGCUCUCCUUUAGGUAAAUAUAUUUUAUUUUUUGCUCAAAAAUUUUUCCUCUAAAAUUUGUAACUUGCAACAUAAAUAAAAAGAAAUUUUAUUUACUUCUAAAAUCAUAAGAAAAUAUUUCUGUACUACUGCUUAGCUAAAAUGAUCAUAAUGAACCCCUGUUCUAAGUUCUAACUCGCGAUAUCUUCAACCGAACGCAAACUAAAGUCGGCAAAACACUAUGUUUCGCCGCCGACUUCACAUUGAGUCGCCAAAACGAUUCAACGCCGGUUUUCUCCUUCCUCUAGCGGCGGUGUCCCCGCGGCUCGAAACCCUAAUAGCCCUAGUCGCUCCAAUGUCGAGGUCGACCAUGGAGGAGGGGAGCGGAGAAGUGGGGAGCGGCUCCUCCUCGUCGAAGCCGAAGAGUGCUCUCCACAUCGAAGGGUAUCCGAUCGAGGGCCUCUCGAUCGGGGGCCAGGAGACGUGCGUGAUUUUCCCCACCCUCAAGUGCGCCUUCGACAUCGGGAGGUGUCCACAGCGAGCCAUAGCUCAGGAUUUCGUGUUCAUCUCCCAUGGACACAUGGAUCACAUUGUGAGGCUCUCCCUACUCUCUGUGUGUGUGAGCGAAUUUGGUCUUCUCUAGUUGAAGCUUGAGGAUAAAAUUGAAACCUAGUUGAAUUAAGUACUUGGUUGAUAUUUAUGUCAAACUUUUUAAGUUCAAAGUCGAAGCUAAAGUCAAAUUUCAGAGGCUAAAUUAUUACCAUUGGAACAUGCGGUCGAAAUUGACAUGCAUUUGAAGCUUUUAGGGACUAAAUUGGUGAUUGAUCCUUUUUUUUGUACCUUGUUAUGAUGUGUAAAACUGAGGGCAAGAUUGGUUCCUGAUACUAUGGGCUACUGCUUCAGCUCAUUUUUUAUGCAUAUUUGAGUUGUUUUAGAUACUAUGUAGUCUGAAUUCAGCUCAAUAUUGUUAAAUUUUGGUCAUGCUGCUUACAGUUGAAGGAUAAGUUGAAUCUUCUUUGGUCAUUUAUGCAAAUCAUAGCACAGAUAAUAUAUGAAAUCUUAAGUGGUAAACCUCUAUUUCUGCAUUGAUGCUGCUUCUUUCGUUUUAUUCUAAUUGACAGGGAGGGCUCCCCAUGUAUGUUGCCACACGUGGUUUGUAUAGCAUGAAACCCCCAACUAUAUUUGUUCCAGCAUCUUUGAAAGAAAAUGUGGAGAGACUAUUUGAUGUGCACAGGGCAAUGGACCAAUCUGAACUGAAGCACAAUCUUAUAGGCUUGAACAUAGGUAUAGUCCAGUUAUAAUUGGAGAAACAAUUAUCGAAAACACGAUACAUGAGUCACUGCUGGAAUAGUUGUAACAUACAUAAUGUUUAUAGGUGAAGAGUUUCAAAUAAGGAAGGAUCUCAAAGUGAAGGCUUUCAAAACUUACCACGCCAUACCAAGUCAGGCAAGGCAUAGACUUGCUUUAUAAUUCUGUAAAUUUUGUAGAUAUUUUGGUUGUUUUUGAUGAGAAAGAGAAUCUAUGCGAGAUAAACAUAUUUGUAUGCAGGGUUAUAUAAUAUACACAGUUAAGCAGAAACUCAAGCAGGAAUUCGCCGGUCUCUCAGGAAAUGAGAUCAAGAACUUGAGGUUAUCAGGUGUGGAGGUCUGUCUUGGUGAAUACUUGGAUAACUUAAAAUAAACAAAAUUACUGUUGUGACCUUUGAACUAAAAGCAUGCAUCUAAUGUGCCUGUAAUUCCUACCUUUCUUAUUUGUUGAUUGAGAAAAUAGUUCUUAAAGGUCAUAUGUUCUUGGCCUUUGCAGAUAACUAACACGGUGACAAUACCUGAAAUUGCUUUUACUGGAGAUACUAUGUCGGAUUUCAUUGUUGAUCCAGACAAUGCUGAUGUGUUAAAAGCACGGAUUCUUGUCAUGGAGGUAUAUAUUACACCUGUCAUCUCAACAUCUUGAUUUAGUCGUCUCCUUGCAUCUCUCUCUGUUUGGUUUGGUAUCAUCUGUGGGUUGAUUGAAAAUAUCUUGCUCAUAAAUUUCAGAGUACUUUUGUUGAUGAUGGCAUUCCAAUCGAACAUGCAAGAGAUUUUGGGCACACGCAUCUGUUUGAGGUUUACUUCAAAAUCUUCUUUACUUAAGAAGCACUAACUGUAGAUACAUAUUUAAAGUUCUGGGCCUUUGACUUUUUAUAUUUACGUGUGAUAUUCGACAGAUAGCAAGUUAUGCUGACAAGUUUCAAAAUAAAGCCAUUCUUCUGAUUCAUUUUUCUGCUCGUUAUCGGCCAGAGGUAACAAUUGCAACUAUAUUUUCUCGAGGCACAUGAUUUCAUCUCCGGAUUGUGUAUAACUAAUGCAUGUCUUUACUGGUUCUUCAGGAAAUUGAGGCAGCAAUUGCUAAGUUACUUCCAUCUUUUUCCAGUAGAGUUUUCGCUCUGCUGCAAGGUUUUUGAUGGCGCCACACCGAAUGCAGAUCUAUUGCAAUGUAGAACGAAACAGUCUUUUUGUUUAAACGGCUCCUAAUUAGUUUGUAUAUUAGACCCUUGUGGCCUCUUAAAACUGUACUUUUCUUCCGUUUGUUCUUUUUUAUUGCAAUAUUUGUCGUUACUCAAGAACAAAAGAAGAAUAAAGGAACAAAAAAAAAAAAAGGAUGGCUGCUUCAAAUUCUGCUAUUUUGUUUGAUUUUUUUCUUUUUCUUUUACUCUUUGACUGCAAAUGGGAGGGAUAAUAAGCAAGUUGAGAUGAUUGAAGAGGUCAAAAAAAAAAAAGGGGGGGCAUUCCGAGAAUCGAACUCAGGACCUCUCGCACCCAAAGCGAGAAUCAUACCACUAGACCAAAUGCCCAGUUGUGAGUUUCAAAUGUUAAAUUCGUAUAUAUUUCGUAAACGAUGUAGUUGCACAUAACGAGGCCUACUGCAUCCCUCAAAAUGUUCUCUUUCAUAUAUUGGCACAUCUGGAAUUUUAAUCGAUUUCUUAAAUGCACAAUCUAAUUAAAAAUUACUAAAAGUUGCUGAUAUAUUAAGAUUUAUAAUAGAAAAAGUUUCAACUGCCUUAUUUGUACAGCUUAAACAGGAAUAUUAUUUUCCAACGUACUAGUAGCAAUAAAGAAAUAAUUUGUGAGAAAUCUAAAUAUUUGUCUUAUUUUACAUAAUUUUGUUAGCUGUAUUGUUCUGUGCACACGAUCAACGACGCUGAAAAUAUAAAUCAAUUAGAAUUUGAAUUUAGAAUCUCCAAAGCCAACAGUUGGUACCUGCGUUGUCAUUAUUAUGGGGAGCAUCUGCAACUAACUGUACGCGCGAUCCACAUCGCAAUCCGUAACCUCCACGCGAGGAGCUCGUGUGCGCGCUCGCUCUUCACCAUCUCCUCUCCCCUAUAAAACCCAACGACUCCCCUCAACAUCUUCUCCCGCCCUUUCCCCCCCUUUUUUUUUUUUUUUGAAGUAAAAAACUCUCUUCCUCUUCCCCCAUCUCUCUCUCUCUCUCAACCCUAACUCUAAUUCCCUUCCGAGAUCUCCUCGCAUGUCUCAUCUUACGCAUGAUCGAUGGACGAAGAGUCGACUCUUCUCCCCUUUUGCAGCUAAUCGGAACCAUAGCCUCUCUCAGGUGAGAUUUCUAAGUCGAUAGAUCUAUUUUGUGAUGUAAUUGGGGACAAAUGGAGUGUGUUUGAUCAUGGUAAAUAACAAGUAGAUCUAAUUAGAUCAAUAAAUUAAGUUUUUCUCUUUCAUUUUCUUCAUGAUCACGUUUGUGAACAAUCCGAGGAAAAAUCCAUUUUUCCUGCCUAGACUUGUGUUUCGACGAUGGCAAAAAUAGGGUUAAUUUGCUAUGGUGUUUGUGGCUUAUGGAAGUUUGGUGUGAUGAUGUUGUAUUAGACAAUGUCCUGAUUUUGUAUUUCUAAUUUCCUUUCCAUAACUGUUUCGUCGAAAACAAUGUUCUUCCAGGAAAUUAACUAUCUACUUGUUUGAUCUUGCAGAGACUUGGUCUUCAUGAUUGGAGAUGAUAAGAACAUCCUCUAAUUCAAAUAUUAGGUAACUCAUACCAUUUAAUUUUCCAAGUUGUUUGAUCUCUGUUAGUUGUUACUGUUGCGAUUUCAGAUGUUAUUCCUGCUAAACUUUAUGCACCAAUUUUUGAAGCAUAAAUAACAGAGGGUGCCCUUCUAAUUUGGACUAGGAAAGAUAAGAGUGACAGAAGGUUUGAUAUUAUUAAGACAUAAAUAAUUCGAAUUCACAUGUCAAAGCAGUAGAAUUAAGAGCCACUAUAACUCCUAAUAAGGUUACAGCCACAAAUAUUAUCCCUUUCCUUGGUUUUGUUAAGGGAGAGAUUGGGCUAGAGAGUGGCAUUUACCAAACUAAGGGGUGAUCAAAUUCUUCAGCGGAAGAUAGUUCGGUAGAAGAUGCUGGAUUAUUUAGUUACCUUUUUUUUUUUGAGGAAUUGGUAGCAUUAUUUAGCUAUUUCUAACUUUGAAAGAUACCAGGGUGGUCUUAAGAAUAUGGUUAGACACAAAGGCAAUACGUAUUUUGGUUCAUUAGGAUUUGAUGUUCGCAUAACUUCUGUUAUGAUCAAGUGAUCAUGUACAGAUUGGUAAAUCCAAGUUGACUGGUGAUUGCAUAGAUCUCCCCUCAACAGAUCUAGGAGGGUCUAGGAAAAUAGUAUGAAGAAUUAUUGUUCUAACAAAAAUUGUGAUGAUUUUUCACCUUUUGAAAAAGUGAUGACACAUUUUAGAGAUGAAAAUGAACGAACGUGAGGAUAAUAGCAAAACUUAUUUGUGCCAUUAGUUGUUAUCUAUCUGGAUCUAUUUCCGCCAUUUGAAAAAAGAUUCUUAUUGCAAUUGAAUAUUAGUUGGUUUUUCAAAUAUUAAAGUAUAGCGUGGCUUGUAAUGAGUCUACGUUUAGAAACAAGCUAGGAAAUCAGAAUGAUAGCAUCACUUAUUGAGAAUGGAGUAAUUUGUUAGCGUGUCAAAGAAUUAUAAUUUAGCGAGUUGCCUUCUAGUAUUAAUGUUAAACUGGAAUUCAUGAUAUCUUGCCCUGUUUUUAUCUCUAGUUCUCUGUUGAUCCUAUAGGUUUCGCUGCAUUAGCUAGGAUUAUUACAAAGCAUGCAAAAUCCACGGCAUAAUUUGAAUGAGGAAGCAUAGAAAUACUUCGUAGUGCUAGCAAAAACAAAAGGGAAAAAAAAAAAAAAAAACCUCUUUCAACACUAACAAUUGCCCAUCAAAUAAAGUUAUCACUGAUCAUAUACCAAUCAAAUGCAAAAAAAGAAGAAAUUACAAACACAUCCUCCCCUCUUCUCACUCAUACAAAUCCCUCCCUAUCUCUUUUCCUCAUCAUCACCCUUUUCCCUCAUCAAUUGCCAACAAAAUACCCCAAACACAAAACACAGCCUCUUCGCUUCAACUGCCACUCCCCUUGUUCAAUGCGUCCCAUCCUCUGCUUCCUUUCCUCCUCCUCUGCCGCUACAGCUUCUGCUUCUGGAAUCAGCACUUUUGUCCGACGCGGCAGUUGAGCGCCCCCGAGAAGCGCGUUAGCCUGGUGACGAACGUGCCGGGCUUGGCCUUGAUGAACUCCGUCCUCGAGAAUUUUCUCAUGUUUUGCCCACCCGAUUGGACGAAGAAUGCCCCGUUCUGCAUCAAAUCCCCAUCCGAUUUCCACACCCAUUGUUUCCACUCCGCUUCCGUUGCGUAGUCCCUCUUCGUUAUCUACGAUUCACAUAGAAAACAUUUUCCUUUUCAAUAAAUUUCUCAUAUGAAUAUAUUAUGAGGGCUAGUUUUUCUCUUUUCUUUCCCCCCUUUUUUUUUUGGGUUUCCUUUUGAAUUACCUCCUUAGCGGCUAGAUUUGGGGGGGCGAUGUAUCGGUUGCCCUGGCUGAUGAUGGUGGGGUGUUUGCUACCACCCACGGCGUACAUUAGCCAAUGUGUGUAGUCGUUGUUCACCACAUGGACAAAUCCCCAUCGGCACCUACAUAUACAUAUUGAACCCAAUUAAUUAAUCAUGGAGAGUAAAAUAUAGAGAAGGAGCAGUUAUAGAAUCAUGGGGAAGAAGUAAUUUAUAUGCAUGUAUGUAUUUACCUUGGCAUCCUCUGCACUAGGCCUCGUCCAAAGUGGUUGAAUGCGACCGUUAUUUGCAUGAUGGCAUCAGCUUGGUUGGAAUCACUGGCGCCAAACAACAUCACCUAUAAUAGAAAGAAAUUGUGAAUCGGCCACAACUUCGUAAUGGAAGUAAGCAGUAAUUGAACGGUUAAGAGUCGUUGAGAAACGUACAUCGUUGUGGCGGGUAAAGUGGCUGUUGGAGAUGGUGAUCGCGGUGGAGCCUUCGAUCGCGUCGAUGAGCCCAUCCUCGCAGUUGGACAUGGACACGUGGUCGAUCCAGAUGUUGCUGGAGCCGUAGAUGGAGAUGCCGUCACCAUCGCUCCUUGUCCUCCACCCGUAGUGUUCGGUCGAGUCGCGGACUAGCCCGCCGGCGGCAGACUUGAGGUCGUGGAUGUGGAGGUUGUGGAUGAUCACAUUGCGCACGAAUUGCAGAGUGAUCUGGGCACCGUAGGCGAUGUGGACAUUGGCGCCACGGCCGUCAAGGGUCUUGUUGCUGCCGACGAUGAGCUCCUGUGAGAGGGUGAUGAUCAUGUCGUUGGCGAAGACAAUCCAGAGGGGCUCAGGCUGGAUGACGGCGUGGCGAAGGGUGCCAGGGCGGGGGUUGAGGACGUCGCUGUCGGAGGGGUCGGUGACGGUGUAGAACCUCCCUGCAAAGCCCCCCAUGGCUCCGUAUCCGAAGCCCUUGGCGCACUGGGCGAGGAGCUUCCGGUGGUUGGCCCAGUUGCUGCGGCACCGCCAGCAGCGGUCAAUCGGGUUCGUCGCCAUGCACGGGCCGUUGUACUGGCGGCGGAGGCUCCUCCGGGUGCUGUUGGUCGCCGCCAGGGUUCUGCAUGAACGUACGUACAGCAUUUUGUUAGUAAGAAUAUAUACGUGAAAGCAGCGGUGACGUACGUAUACGGAGCUACUGUUAUCAUGAGCUAGCUCCUCUUAGACUAAAACCUUAUGCAUGAAUAUUAAGAAAUGUACGUAAAUAUUGGAGCAAUCAAUGAAGACGAAGAAGAAGAAGAUCAAGAGAGAGAGAGAGAGAGAGAGAGAGAGAGAGAGAGAGAGGACGUACUUAUGGACCGCCUGGUUGAAGCUGUUGGUGACGGACUCGGGGUCGGGCUUGUAGGCGGCGAGGGCCUGUGCUCGGGCCUCCUCGGCCUUCUUCCGCCAAUGCUCAUCAAAGUCGGCGAUGUUGGCGUUGGAGAGCGCAGCAGAGGCGAGGAAGAGGACGGAGAAGAAGAAGAAGGAGCUCGGCUUGCUGCAGCUGCAUUGAAGGCCUUCCAUAUUUACCUCCACUCCUCUCCUCUCCUCUUUAUCUUUUCUGAAAGAAUAUUUUUUAAAAAAAAUUAAUUUUUUUAUUUAAUUUUUUUUUUUUUUGUUGCUGGAGGAUGGUCUGGAUUUUUUUAUUUUUCCUUUUCUUUCGGUUAUUAAUAUUUGAAAGAGCCGGGAGAUCGAUCACAGACCCGACCAGACCAACCGACCGAGCCCACGAGGAUUUUAUUCUAUGAGGAUACAAUCAUAGUCCUCUCUCGGCCUCCGAUGGGGUUGGGAAUGUGGGGAGGAUUAUAUACUGUGGAAAGGGUGGCUUGUUUGGGGGAAUAGGAGGAGCUGUGAGGAGGAGCGAGGAGAGAGGGGAGCCAUUGCUAGUUUCAAGUUUCUCGGGAGAAAAGAUAGGCAGAGAGAGAGCGAGCGAGCGAGCGAGCAAGAGAGAGAGAGAGAGAGUUUAGAGUUUGAUGGGGUCAAAGUUUGAUAGAGAUUUUGUAGGGGGUGAGAUUUGACGAUUGGUGCAUGACAGGACACCAUGCACGCCCACAAUCUAGGGCGACUCCUUCCUCUGAUCUCUCUCUGUCGUAGGCCGUCAAAUGAUAAGUAAUUCAAUCAUAAACAAACAAUCUUACUCCUCAGCCAAUAAAUAAAAAAAUUUAAAAAAAAAACUCAUUAGUUGUAUUUAAGAAUAUACUGUGAGUUGUCCAUAAAAGUGCUCAAUUUUUUUGGAACUAAAACCAGUUAUAAGUAUCAAAGCUCGUCGAUCAUCAUGUUAUAUUGUUAUCUUGAUUAUAUCAUAAUAGUUUUUCAAACAAACUUUACAAAAAUCAAGCCUUUAAGAUUCGGCUACGGUUGUAUAUGUCUAGAAAUGCAUCUGUCCAUUUGUGCACUUUAGUCCACUAUCACUACCUAUACUUUUAAUCAUUAAUAUUCUACGCAAUUCUUGUCCUCAAUUACCACUGAUUGACAACCUAUAUUCUGAUCUCAUGUGUCUCCAUUUCGGCUCCAAAUCUUUUGUGUUGACGGGCAUUAUAGUUACCACUGAGAUGCGCAUGGUUCAGAGAAUAAUUCCUCCAAAUCUUCUUUUUUUUCUUUUUUUUCUUUUUCGUCCCCCUAGGCCCUAAUUGCCUUACUCAUGUAGUCUAAUUCAUAUUCCUUAUGAAUGAAGCGAGUAGCAUGCUACCUCUUUCUAAAAAAAAAAAAAAAAAAAAAAAUCCUCGAGUAAGAAGAUGAAGAUCUCAAGUGGUGGUUUGUAGUAACACACGUCCUUAGGUGAAUGAAAAAUAAUUUUAAAAAAAAAAUGGAGAACUGCGGUGGCUUGGGCCAUGUAGUUUAAACAUGUCACGUGUGAUCCUCGUAUGUGUGGCAACCGGGCACCGCGCAAUGAAACGGAGCCCGUGGUGACAAUGUGAUACUUGCUCUCACACUUCCAUGACUCGUUCCUUUUUUUUUUUCUUUUAUUUAGGCGCCGUGAAAAUAAAUUGGGCAGAAUAUAUACAAUCACGUGAAGAAGCUUUACAUGGCGCUACAGGUAGGAGUAGUUGGUUCGAGUAUUUAAUUUAACUGUUGGACAUCCUAUCUCAAUAUUUAGUUCAGGUUAUCAGUUCUUGUGCCUCCUUCGUACAUUAACUAACUUUGGAUUGACCUGAUUAGGUACAGGAAAAAAACGUAAGGUAAAUUACUUUUGUAGGAAAGAAAGAUGCAUGUGUAUCUGUAAAAUGACGUGAUUAAAUAUUUUCUGAUCAGAUCCCAAAGAUACUUAUUCUUUUCUUGGAUUGGCCGAGGAAGGUCAUACAGAACCCGCUUCGUUUAUUUCAUUAGAAAUAAACUUAGCUGGAAAUGUGAAUCAACUAGUAUUCGAACUUGAGACUUGAGUACCAACCAUUAAGAUUUUUGCCACUUGCUUUAGAAACGGUUGGUAGUACAGAAUUAUGUUGAUUUGUAAGGUGCAUAUUCACUCUACCUCUUAUCUAAAAUCAAGACAAGUUUGGAAUAGAUUCUCGAUAUUUACUUUAAUUGUAAGAUAUUUACUUAAUUGUGAGAUAUAUUGGCAGUUGGGCUAUUGACACUUUGGAAAGAAAAUGCUUUAAUUAGUCUUUUUGUACUGAAACAUUUAAAACGAUUGUUGCAUUUGUCAGAUACAGGAUUGGUGGCUUCACCCGCAAGCUAAAAUAUUCUUAAUCUUCUUUUAUGUGAAAAUCAGACCAUUGAUCAGUACCUGUUUUGUUGUAAUUGUAUCCAUAGUCAUAUUUUUACUUUUGUUUGUUAUAUUUUAUUUUCCCUAUGUACAGUGUUUUGACAGGAGUCGCAGGUUUUCUUGGCCAUCUAAAAGUUUCGGUGUGUGAUGCAAGGAAAAGGUAUAUGUUAUUUAGCUUAUGCAUUUUACCUUGAGUUAAAAUAUAACUCUCUUAGUUAGCAACUUAAAAUUGCAGAGAUAGGUAAUCAAAUUUAGAUCAACCAAACGAUAAAGAAACGACAAAACCAUUCAGACAAAUUUUUGAGGAAUUGGCACUAGCUUCCUUUCGUACAUUGGUGCAAGCAUUAUAACAAAUAUCUUACAUAUUGGAAAACAUUAUAGGAAAUAAAAAAAUAAAAAUCCGCCCACUUCCCUGCAUUAUAGGAAAUAAGGAAAAAGAAAAGAAAAACAAAAAAAAAAAAAGCCAAUGGCUGUAACACCCUGAAGAAUGGCGCUGGUUUAUCUUUGCUUAUGACAAUAGAAUACAACAUCAGCANAAAAAAAAAAAAAAAAAAAAAAAAAAAAAAAAGCCAAUGGCUGUAACACCCUGAAGAAUGGCGCUGGUUUAUCUUUGCUUAUGACAAUAGAAUACAACAUCAGCACUAUAAAGAUGGCCAAUAUCCCCCUAGAUGGACGCAGUUUCUGCAUAUGCAUACCCGUGAUGGGUUUCGCCCUGCUUCUGCCACUGUAAAAGUAAUGGGAGAAAUAACCCAGAAAGGGAGCUCCUAAACAACAAUAAUCACCAGAAGAUGCACUAUUCGUCCUCAAUAUUAUUGUUUAGCCCACCAAUACGAUGCCGCCUUCUAUCAAAAGCUGCUCUAAAGGACUCUCGUUCAGCGCGGAGUUGCUCACUGAAUCGCCUCUUUGUCUCCGUGUUUGUCCCCCCCUUUGCCCCUGGAGCAUCCUCUUUUUCAACCAGUGGAUUCGAGUCCUGUGAGGAAAGGAAAAUUCUUUUUCCUAACUAAAAGGAUUCUGUUGCAAAAGCAACAUAGAAUAGAAAGAAAAGACUCAACGGGACUACACAUUUGAUUGCUUCUUUUAUACAUAGUAAAAACAAAAUCUGGAAAGGAAUCGCAAGAUAGAUCGCUCACCAAAUUGUAUCCAGGUCCUGGGCCAAUGAUCAAUGAUGAUGUACCUCGUUUCUUAGAAGCACCUAUGGAGAACCCACUCCUAUUGACCUAGAAAUGAAGAAACAUAUAGAGUAUACUGCCUUCAAGUGUGGUUAUAUAACCAUAGUGCGGAGAGAGUAUGACUUCAACAUAUACUUCUGCUUGUUUAUUUGUCCAGCUAUGUAGCAUAUAUUAUCAACUUUGGUGAUUGUUCAAGUGAGCAUGCCUGCAUAUGCUCUUGUGACCUAUAGCACUUAUGUCCACUCAACUCAGGGCAGCAUUUCAAAACGUUUAAUUAAAUCAAUAGUGAAUGCAAAAAAAUAAGAAGAGGGCAAUACACAUCCGUUAAGGAUAACUAGUUGGAGGCAAUACAUAAGGAGUACUGUUUGGCAUUGCUGUAGUAUAUAGUGUAAUUCAAAAAAUGCGUGCUGAAUAGUGUUAUUAGGAGAAGCACUACAUGUCUGCCCCAAGAGCUCUAUGUAGCAAAAGUAAAAUCUCCGAAUUGGAGUUCCAACUUUUGAGGCUCUAGAAUGUCAUUUUGCAAAAGAUGCAGUCUAUUUUAUGUGCAAAUGCUCAGCUAUAUAUGGCUGCCGCUAAAAGCAAAACAAGAAGCAAGGCCAAAUAGGCACAAAACUUGAGUUGAUUCACUGAAAGCGUAAUAAGAGCAAAAGCAACUUCAUCAUUGCUAUUGAAAGCAUCUAAGGCAUAAAGCAAAAUAAAAAUAAAAGAAGCGCAUCUGGUAACCAAGAAAAUAUGCUAGCUGAAGUCGACAGCAUACCUGAUCACUCCAGUGUACAGAUUUUUCAUUUGUGCCAUAUGCUUGGAGUAUACCAGAAAGCACAUUUGUAUUUUCCUCACCACCAUCUGAGUUUUCAGCAUCCUCUUCUAAAUCCUUCGACCAUUUACUUCUCCCUAUCUCUUUCACUUCAGUCAGCUCUUCCUCUUCUUCAGUAUUCCAUCUCUCACCAGCUUUUGAUAAACCAAGACAUAUUACUAUGUAAUUAUUAUGUAUUACUCCAUAACUCGAAGACUUAGCAUGCACAAGAAAAAACAAUAUAUGGAACUUGGUAUAACCUAGUUACACUGGGAAACAGAAGGGGGGGAGGAAAUGGAGGAAAACAUUGGUCUAAAGCAAGUCCUGAAAACGAAUAAUUUUAUGUUAAAAGGUAACUAUAUGAGAUUUAAUCAUCAUACUACCAAGUACCAACAAUGUCCAUCUUCCUAAAUUAAUUAGAACAGAAGCAUUGAUAUUAUAUGUUUUUUUGAAUGCAGUCAAUUUCUUUUGUUAUCUCAUCCUUUUCUAACAAGUAGCACCAAUAUUUCAGAAUCAUCAGAUUCAUCUAGUUGUGCCUUAAUAACACAAGCCACCUCAAUUCCCCUUCAGCGAAUUCUGCACCUAUCUACAAUAGAAUGAUGAAAAGCAAAUAGAGAAAUUUUCCUCACUAUUUUACAAUUUCCUCCAAAAAACAGUGACAAUCAAAUAGAAAAAAGAAAACAAUUCUCUCCAACUAAACCAAGAAAAGUCAAGAACAUAACCAGCCUAUCAUUGCAACAAUUUGGCUCAACUAAUAUUUUUUUGCUAUUCCCCUGUAUUUAGAGCAUUCUCAUCCUACCAAAAGUUAAGAAAAUUUAGUAAUUGCCAAAAUGAUAACAGAAGAACUGCAGCACCCAGAACUUUUCAAGGUAAAAAGUAAAUAAAAAGUAAUAGACCAAUUACUAGGUGACAAUAAUCAGAAGCAAAUUUAUACCACUAUGAGGUUCAUAAUCUGAUGAUUUUGGUUUGGCAUGCUCACUAUCCUCCUUAUCAGGCACAUUUUGUGUGCCAUCAGCAUAGUCAGCAUCAUCUGCUUCCAUUUCCACCUGUUAAAGAGUAUAACAGCAUUAUGCACAGGCGAGGCUGUAGAGCAAGCCAAUUGGGCUCCAAGUCCCAGCAUUAAUAGAUCCGAAAAUUUAGGCCAAUGAGAAAUUAAAGGCUCAAAUAAGAGAAAAUAAGAUGAAGGAAAUAUGGAACUUGAAGUAAGGGGAAAGAAGUGAGAAGAGCAAAAUAAAGGCAACAAAAACAUUGGCUUUUAAGCAUACAGCAAAAUUUCUAUUUGUUUUUUUUCUUCGCUUAUCCAACAAUGAUCAUUAUAAUGGAGUUUAAAGAUAGAGGAGACAGAUGUUGAUUACCUCUUGUAUAGACUGUUCAUUCAGAUCAUCCCCAUGGAACAACGACUGCGCAGUCAUAUUAUACAUGCAAAAAGUGAGGGAAGCAUUUGAUGUAACAUGAGGAGUCUUAAUAAGCGCCAGGCAUGGGGUGUGUGUGUGUGUGUGUGUGUGAGAGAGAGAGAGAGAGAGAGAGAGAGAGAGAGAGAGAGAGAGACCUGAAUGUCUAGCUUCAGGUACAGCGGUGGAGAGUCUUCCCAAGAUUCUGCCAUCCUCUCUACAUCUUCUAAUGUGAAACCAUGCACGUUCCUCGCAGCACAGCCCUGUAUUUUCCACUCGAUUAGAAGAAACAUGCCACAGGUAGACAAUAAACAAAUAAAAUAUAUGAGAACUCAAGAAAAGGUAUAUGUCAAUUCAGGAGCAUGGAACAAAAUUUCCAAGGGAGCAGCCUGAAGAACCAAGUGACAACAAAAACCUUCACCGUUCUUAGAGGAUGUGUAGUAUCUGAAAGAUCUCAAAAGAAAGAAUAUUAUCUAAAAAAAGAGCAAUGUUUGACCAUCUAAACCACCAACUUCCCACAAAACUAAGAAAACAAAAGCCAAUGCCAGGAAAUAUUUCAUGAACAAAUACUGCCAGUGAGUACCGACUGAUGAAAAAAAUAAUUAAAAAAAAUAAAAAUAAAAAAAGGAUCCUGCAUCAGUGAGUACCGACUGAUGAAAAAAAUAAUUAAAAAAAGGAUCCUGCAUAAUCCUGUGAGGCCUUCCUAACAGAACAUUGUUUUUUUUUUUGUUUUUUUUGUUUUUUUUUUUUUUUUUUUGAGAGAGAUAGGUAGCACGCUACCCGCUUCGUUUACUUCAUUUAGAAAUAAACUUAGCUAGAAAUGUGAAUCAACUAGGAUUCGAACUUGGGUCAACAGAACAUUGUUAAUAACACAGAAUUAUAACAAUGAGUUUAGUUGCAUAAGAACUCACCAUUGGAUCCUUGUACGGGGCUUCAAGCAAGUACACCUCAUAGCCUGCUCUCUGCUUGAGAAAAAGAUAAAACAACAAGCAUAAGGCACCAGAAUACUUUAGCCAAUAUAUAAUCUAUAGAAAUAAAGUGCUCUAAAUAAUUCUUGAACGCCAAUUUGAUGUUUACAAGUGGCAUUAUUGUACUCCAAAGUACUGCUAAAAUACAAAGCAGCCAUUUCAGUGAAAAUUCAGCUCUGAACCAAUUGAAAUUCAUAUUGCAUAAGAAGACAUCAAAUUCAAAAGUAUAGGGGUCCAAAACUUUAAUUAGAUAAUUGAUGGCAACUAACAAAUAUCAUGUGAAAGAUUACAAGCAAAUCUUAUUCUGGAAAAGGUCAUUAAGAAUCAUAAAGGUGGAUCUACAAGUUCUUCACAAACAUUUCCAAAAAAUGAUUUCGAGUUGCAAGCAGAAAUUUAUCACCAGUGCUUGCAGAAUAUAUGAACAUGAAAUCAAUUGAAUUUAAUUUGAAUUUCCAAAGUAUAAUAAUGCUACUUAUCUUCACAAGCAAGAUCAGUAUGUAAAUUAGCGAGAGAAACAGAAGGGCGAGUUAGAAUACCUCAAUACUUUAGCAACUAAUAAUUAGCAAAAAUGUAACAUUUUCUUUUUUCCCUCAAAGAAUGCAUCUACUUGAAAUAAUGGGUGACUGAUGAAACAAUCAUAUGUGGGCCAAGAAACCACACAAAUAGGAAUUCGAAAUAGAUUGCACCAGAAAUACAAUAGUGCUGCCAAACAAUAAACCAAAGUAAUAACUAGCCAUACUUGAAAUUUUACUAGAGCAUUUUGGCCCUGUUGUUGUAUUAAAAAGAAAACUGAAGCAACGCUCUAAUCAGACACAACUACAGGCCUCCAGUAACAAAUAAAGCAAGACGAUUCUUCUCUAACCAACCAAAAUUCUGCCACUCGUCUCCAAACCACUCUUUACCAUACUUCUACAAGAUUGGCACAUGCAAAAUUCUAGUCUUCUUCGAAGUCUCAAGAGGCUGCUAGACUCCAUUCAACAAUUAAUUUUUCAGCUCCAUCUUUAAAGUUUCCAUGAGAACUCUAUGUAGGAACUUGUUGACAGCCAAACCAAGAGAGUAAAAGAAUAGGAAAGACUGUUGAGAAUUAGUGUCUAAAGAAGUGUUUUGCUGUGAAGUAGCUAUUAAUAGUGAAAAAAAAAGAUAUAGAAAAAGAACACUUUCACAACACAAAGAUAAUUAGAUUGUUACAUCCUCACAAUAUUAGAGAAAUAACUAAAGAAAUAAAUUAUUCUAAUAGCAGAAUAUAACAUUUUAACAGACAGACUUCUCAAUAGUUGAAAUCAACCUCGCCUCCUAUCCUAUGCACGAAUAUAGUAAUCUUGGAUUGCUUGCUUAUUAACAAGAGUGGAUGCCCAUGUCUGGUUUAUUUGCCCAGUUCCAAAUAUAUUUUUACCAGUGAGGUAAAACCGCGAAAGGCAGCAAAUAGAGAUGAUAGAGCAUAAUGCAAGCCACAUAUACUAAAGUUACACAUUAAAAAAACAAAACAUGUGUGUUGUUAGAAACAAAACAAAUUUCGAUACAUAUCUAAGCAUAUUUCGAUACAUAUCAUCUCAUCUUUAAGCAUUUACGUAAUGAAAUUAUAUUUUGAACUUGAAGCAUGUCUGAGAAUCCCAUUCCACCAAAUUGAAUAAAAAAGGUAAAUACUAAUAGGUGGUCACAAAAACGGAGAAUAAGGGUAUACCUUUCCAAUUGCCCAAAAUUGAGCAAAAUCAGCUACCCGCAGAUUGCGGUCAUCCACUAAACGGGGCAAACAUACCAGCAGUAAAUGAGUCAGUUGCCAAAUAAUGCUGCAUCAGUCAUUAGUGAAAAUGAAGGCAGCCCACGCUGCACAGCUACUGCGCCUCACUAGUUCAUCUAACAGGAUACUAGAAUUGAAUGCCUUAAACAGUACAAACACCUAGGUAUACUAGGGCAAACCCUCCAAUCAAUAUUCUAUGCAUCCUAUCGUGAUACUACCUAUCGUGUAUAGAGAGAGUUCAUUCAUCUUAUCAAAGUAAGUGUGGAAGAAGUUCGGUGCUAGAAUCUAUUUCGGAACUAGAGCUUUGAGUGUAGUAGAAAAUGAAUUGCAAGGGCAACAGAUUAAACACACAUGAUGACUACAUGAAGUUGAACAGUUUUAAGCAAGAACCAUGAAAAAUCUUUUUUAGAAUAUGAAGGUGAAAAGAGCAAGAAAUAAAAAUUAGCUAAAGAAAUCAAAGAUAAUUACCAACAAUUACCAAAGAAAAGUUAAAAAUGGUUAAAUAGUCAAGAUUCCACACAAUGUCCAGAAUCAACCCCAUACCGAUAACAAAUGUAAAAAUCCCCUCAUCAAGGGUCUUCUUGAAUGCCUUCAACAUGCUUGCCCUGUAUGUCUACCAACAGAAAAGCACAUCAGAGAUACAGAAGUGACAAUUAUAUUGAAUGCAAAACUCCUUAAUUAAUUGAGAAGAGAAUGGUAUUUAGCAUCAUUCUUAACAUCAUGGUAUUUAGCAUCAUUCUUAACAUCUUUUGAAGUACUAUAAAUCCUGAAUAUCACAAGAAAAAAAAAUGGUAUGUAGACCUCGUAGAAAAAAGAAAAAAAAGAGAUAAUAAUACUGGGCUCCAAUCUGUCAUUGAAUCACAUCUCUUCGGAAGAAAAACAAAGUAAACAGAUUUAAGAAGGAAAAAAAAAGGAAACUGCAUCACCUCCUCCAUCUCAGGUUCAUAACAGUACUCAAUUGCUUUCUUAGUCGACUGCUUCUUGCCUCUGAAUGAGCUAGAAGAUUUAUUCCCAUCAUUGUCUUCAACCUUCAGAUAACACACUUAAAAAUUAACGAUUCGUAUUUUCAUGCUUUGUCACAAAAUAGAAUUAAAACAUACAAUUGAGCUCAUGAAAAGAAAAUGCUAUGCACACCUUUUCAACUUCAAUCAUGAAAUAAUCAUCCAUUGCAUGAAUUCUAGGUGCAUUCCCACCAAUUUCCACUUCAAGAUCACGCAAUGCUUUUGCGAGAUAGCUUUUUCCACUACCUACAAGUACAAACAUUGGUGUGCCUUUUAGAUAUAAUAGUAUUAUAAAUCUUAAUUACAAUCACCAUUAAAUUUACCCUAUUUAUUAAUUUCUAAAGUCAGUCCAAGUUUGCUCAUAAACCAGGUCCUUUAUACUUCGUUUGGUUCGGAUAUAAGUAAGAACUAGCUUAUACCAGGGAUAGGUACAAGUUUAAGUAUAAGCGAGAACUAGACCAAUUUUGUGUUUGGAUGAAAAUUUGGUUGUUCCCGAAAGUAAGAAAAAUAGUGUUCGGAUGGAUAAGAUGGAAUAAGAAUAAUAGUUGAUAGUUAUAAAGAGAAAAUAAUGGUAUUACCCCUCUCAUUAUAUUUGAAUUUAAAUUUUUAAAUUUUAAAUUUAAAUUUUUAACUUUUAAAUUUUAAAUUUUAAAAUUAAAAUUUAAAAUUUUAAUUUUAAAAAUUAAAAUUUAAAAUUUUAAUUUUUAAAAUUUUAUUUUUAAAUUUUUAAAUUUUAAAUUUAAGACCAAAUUUAAAUUUGAAAGAUAUAAAAUAUCAAAUUUAAAAUUUAAAAUUUUAAAAUUUAAACUUUAAAAUUUAGAAUUUUAAAUUAUAAAUUCUAAUUUUGAGAUUAAAAAUUUUAAAUUUUAAAAAAUUAAAUUCUAAUUUAAAAUAAAAUUCUCUCUCUCUCUCUCUCUCUCUCUCUCUAUACCAGGGGAACAAGGGAUCGGAACAAGGGUGGGAAUACUUGUUCCCACCCAUACUGGGUUAUCCCUAUAUUUUAAAGUUUAAAUUCUAAUUUGAGAGUACAAAUUUUAAAUUUUAAAAAUUUAAAAUCUAUAUUAAAAUAAAUCUCUCUCUCUCUCUCUCUCUCUCUAUACCGGGGGAACAAGGGGUGUUCCCACCCCUAGGUGGGAACAAUAAUUCCCACCCACCCAACUUUGUGUUUGGAUACAAGAGGGGGGAUAAGACCCUUAUCCCCCCUCUUGUACCCAAUCCAAACGGUACCUUAAAGCACCACAAUCACAUAUCAAUAAAGCAAAAGAAAUGGAGAAUAUUAAUUCCCAUACAAGACAAAUUCCAAAUAUGCAUUCUUGAAGCAACAGCUUGAGUCAGUCAUAGAAACUUUUUCACGUUCAUCUCUCUGUUGGUGAUGACCUCCAUCAGAGGCAUUACUUCUCUUAUCAUUAGCCAAACUAAGUCUUCUUUUUUUCGUUUUCGCCAUCUUCUCUUUUUAGAGUGAACAUAAGGGGGCCCUCUCUACUAAAUGUAACUUAAAUCCCAAAUGUUUCCCGGAAUAUGUAACUUAAAUCUUAAAUGUUUCCCAGCACUACAAGCUGACAUGAAUUUUUCAUUUCUUCUCCUACUAUACCAGCGCCACACUCAUCCAUCUCAAAUACUUCCAGAUUCAUUGCUAACUUUAUCAACUAAAGCGAGGGGGAAAAAAAAGAUUGAAUAAGCCAUAAGUUGUUCAACAACUCCUUUUAACAGGACAGAAUUUAAAAUAGCAUAACAUACAAAUUAAGAACACAGCAGAUGGUAAUGAAGAACAUCAAAGAACCUGGAAGCCCUCGAAGGAUGAUAACAAUAUGAUCAGGACGAGAGGCACGAUGUGGUUGCUUGAACAAGUGAGAAGCACUGACAACUGUAACUUUAUUCUUAAGUGAAUUCUUUGAGGGGUACCCUAGACCAUUUCCCAUAUGCAGAUCUGAAGGGGCUUGAGAGGCGAACGUCAAUCCCUGAAUGAAAAUGCAGAUUUGUUAUCGCAGUUCUUUAUGCAUAACUUGCAAAAUAAGGGCGCAAGAUGUGUUUCACUAAAAUUUGAGAUAUAAAAAAGCAGAUACUCCUAUUACUUUCCAGCACACUCUUAUUUAUUAUGCAAUGGAACAUAAACUGACAAUAAAUAAAAAGUUUGAAAAUUCGUAUUUGCAGCAGAAGAAUAAGGUGAAAGAUUAAUAUAAUAUAUGAAUGAGAAGCCAGUAUGGCUUAAUGAAUGAUUACGACAUCAAGAAUGGGAAAAGGAACUUUGAACAAAAGUGGGAUAUGUACCUCGGAAAUAAAUUGGGAUGAAUUACGAGCAGGCAGCAUGUUAUAACAGUUCGCUUGUGGCAAAGGGUGUGUUUCAGGCAAGGUGCGACCAUUAGGUGGAAGCGAAACGGUGGCUGAAGCACUCGAUAAAACAGGGAAUAGUGCGGGAGCCGCUGUUGGAGCUGAUGAUGCCAUGUGGAAAUCUGACUGAUAACCCCGAUAAUGUGCUGCUGCAAUAGGUGGCGGAGGCAUGGAAGUAUAAGAUUGCUGAAGCCCUUCAACUGCAUUAUGGCCGGUGGCUCCAGCGCUAGAUUUCUCACUUGCUAAAUCAUGAGUAGCAGAUUGCCGUGCAUUUUGGCUAUGGAGCUCAAAUUCAUCUUUUGCUGGGUCAUGCAUCAAAUAUGCCGCAUAUGAUCUUCGUUCGUCAUGAUUUAUUAAAUGUGCUGCAAUCUGAUUACUACCUUUGGCAGCAUAUGGAGAUUGAUGUGGCAACAUAUAGGAAUUCUCACUUAGAUGAAAUCUGUGGUGAUCAUGUGCGUAAUACUUCUCAUGAGGUCCUCCUGAUGCAUAAUCAGGAUUGGGAUACGAAACCUGCUGCCAGGAUUCUCCGAUUGGUUGAACAUAGGCACCAUCUCCUCCGGGCUCGUUUCUCUCUCGAGGAGUAAACCCAACAACAUUUUGGGGAUCAGUCGAUCUUUCGGAAUUCCCACACUCUUUGUACAUAGUCCGUUGCAUAUGCUGAUUCUGGUAGUCAGGGGCCGACUCAGAAGCAUGACCGAAUCCCGAGUCGCAGAAGCUGUGACCAGAUCCAACACUCGGGUAGCUGUUCUGUGGAGCUUCACUGAAACUCUGCCGCCCAUGAUCUCGGAUCAGAUUCAGCCUCCGCUCAUCAUCCACCGAGACCUGAUUCGGCUGCGGCGGCAGGGGAAUGUCGCAAGGGUUAUAAGGAAGAGUCGGCGGAGGUGGCAAGUUACCUGAAGGAUGAUGCUCUCCCACCCGCAUCCUCUUCUGAAACCUCUCCCUCUCCGAGAAGUCCUCGUGGCCAAACCACGGCGGAGGAGGGAACCCCGGCGUCGGCGGAGGCGGAGGCGGCGGGAACGGCGCCGGAGGGCCCGGCGCACGGCCCCAGAACGACUGCGGAGGCGGAAGCGGAGGCGGAGGCUCGUAGGGAAGCGGCGGAGGAGGGAAGCGGCGGUGAUACUCGCCGGGGAAGGGAGGGGGAGGUUGGCAGAAGGGAAAGUGGGAGCUGGAGCACACGGGGCAGAGGUUGCCGUGGAAUCGCCAUGGAUCAUCCAUGGCGGGGCUCGGUACUGGAUCUAGGGUUGGUGACGAUCUAGGGUUUCAGCUCCGGAGGAGACGAGGGGGGAAGAUGAUCGGGGAGCUGCCGCGUCGGGUAGCUUUUUUCAGUUUUUAUACGAGCGCAGGGAGGCGUCUUCGAACCGGGUCGACGUUUCAAACGAUUUGAUCCGUCCGAUCCGGUUCGCCGGCUUCUUUAUAUAGACAUUCGAAGAUUACAAUUUCUAAGUUAUUGAAUGAAUAUAUAUAUAUUCGUUCAUAUUUAAGUGGUGUGUAUUUAAAAUCGUAAAUUUUGCUUGAGUCUUGAGAGUGUUUGAUUACAAAAAAAACAUGUAAUUAGAUAAUAUUAUUGCAUUAAAUUUAGAUUAAUAAGAUAUAUUAUAAUAUAUAUAUUUAUUUAAUAUGAUAAUAAUAUAUUUAAAAGUUAUAGUCUAUCCAAUUUGAUAAAUUUAUCAGAUAAAAUUCAAUAAUAUAAAUCUAAUUUAAAUAAGGGAAAACUUCAAAAACCCCCCCUGUGGUUUCGUGCAUUCUCACUUUGCUACCCUGUGGUUUAAAACGUAUCAAUUUACCCCCCUGUGGUUUCAUUUUUAUCUUUUCGGAAGCUUUUUCGUUAAUAUUUCGUUAAAUUAUGUACAAAAAACUUCAGAUAACCAUCUAUAUUUAUCGAAUAGUCACUUUAGUAUCCUUUAAUUUUAACUUUGUCACUGAUUUUAAAAAAUAAUAAUAAUAAAAUUGAUAACAAAAAGAUAAAAACGAAACCACAGGGGGGCAAAUUGAUACGUUUUAAACCACAAGGUAGCAAAGUGAGAAUGCGCGAAACCACAGGGGGGUUUUUUUAAGUUUUCCCUUUAAAUAAAUCAGUUAAAAAGAAUGUUAAAUUGAAUACCUAUUGAGAAUUUAUUUUACACAAAUAAUCAUAUUUCUAAAAAUUCUCUUAGAAAUCAUAUUCAGCUUAUUUGAUGAACAAAUAUAAAUCGCAGUUAAACUGUUAACUUUGCUAGGUGGAAUCAAGUUUAGAAUUUAAUUUGGGCAAAUAAUCUGCUUUUUCCAGGUUGUGUUAAAAUUUGACACCUCAAGCAACAGAAGUAUUAGGCAUUUGUUUGAAUAUACAAGUACGUUAUUCAAUAGUUCAUUUUUAUAUAAAGUAUAUGAUUAAAUGGCUUCAACAACUACUUUAUUGGCUUCAAACUAUUUUCUUAGAACAAAAUAAAUUGCUCCGUAGAUAAAAGUUUUUUUUUUUUUUUUGAGAGAUAGAUAGCACGCUACCCACUUUGUUUAUUUCAUUUAGAAAUAAAUUUAGCUGAAAAUGUGAAUUAACUAGGAUUCGAACUUGGGUCUCGGGUAUCAACCACCAAACCCUUUGCCACUUGCUUUAGGGACGGUUAGUGCUCCGUAGAUAAAAGUUAUUUCCUAAAAAAUUAGGAGGGAAUCUAUUUAAGGACUAAAAGCAAACUAUAGAUAACAAUAAAAGGAAAAGAAAGAAAAAACUUUUAUAUGGUACAUAUUCUAUUAGCAAGUCACUUGUCUGGAUUUUCGACAACCAUACAAGCUCCACAAGUUUGUUCCUUUUAAAUUUAGGUACCCUACUUGAGCUAAACUUCAAUUCUAUUCUUAUGAUAGCCAAAAGAGUUUUAAAUUUUUCAAUGUCCGAAAGGAUCGAUCUUCUAGAAAUCAAAAACGCAUCAUGGACAUAGACAUCAACAAAUAAUUUUUUACUUAAUUUUAGUUUAUUCAAAUAACGUACAUUUAACUAACGAACACCACAUAUCAUAACACCGAUUAAAAUUAUCCUUUGACUAUUUGAAGCAACAACUUAAAGCAUCUUGGGAUAUGAAGUUUGAUCUCUAGCAACAGUAGAUUCUGUAGACUAUUUUUGAGGAGGGAGCACAAAUGUGUUCAAUUUGAAAACUUUAACAUCUCUUUCCGCUAUAUAUAUAUAUAUAUAUAUAUAUAUAUAUAUAUAUAUAUAUAUAUAUAUAUAUAUAUAUAUAUAUAUAUAUAUGUAGAGUUGAGCUAGAAUAUUAUCGAUAGCAAAAUUACCACCAAUUUGUUUUCGAUGAUAGAGCCUCCAAAUCGACGAUCGGCACCGUUGAACAUGAUCUAUACCACUUGAAGUGUUUAGAAAUCAAAUUUUAAUCUUUUUGAUAUCAUUUGCCUAAUGAUCAAAGGGUUUCAAAAUUUAUAAUUUUAAUGGCCGAUAUGAGGUGUUUUCUCGUUUAACGGCGUAAAGAUAUUCAAAUCAAUUGAAUUUUUGUUAGAAAAUUCUUUAAACUAUUUAAAACAAGAUCUAUACUCUUGAUUUUGAUUACAAAACUCCUAUCAUCAGUUUUUAAAGAAUAUUCAUUUUCAGCCGUUCAUUUUUGUGUCCACUUAAUGGAUAAGAGAACAAUAUCGAAAAUAUAUGAAUUUUGAUUUCUAAAUACUUCAAGUGGUAUAGAUCAUAUUCAACGAUGCCGAUCGUCGAUUUGGAGGCUCCAUCAUCGAAAACAAAUGGGUGGCAACGGAGCCCAUUUGCUAUCGAUAGCAUUCUAGCUCAACUCUAUAUAUAUAUAUAUAUAUAUAGAGUGAGGCUACUAUGCUAUCGGAAGCACUGAGCCUUCCGUGCUUUCACCUCGUUUUCGAUGUUGCGACUUUCGAAUCGUCGAUCGGCUCCGUUAAACUUGAUCUAGAGUAUUUGAAGUACCUAGAAAAUAAAUUUUAUGAUUUUACGAUAUCAUUUGCCUAGUGAACGAAGGGGCUCAAAAUCAACGGCUGAAAAUAAAAAUCUUACAAAAUAUAAUAAUAUGAUAUUAAAAUUUUAAAUCAAAGAUAUUGAUCUUGUUUUAUAUAGUAUAAAGAAUUUUCUAUCAAAAUUUCACGUGAUUUGAAUAUUUCUACACCGUUAAAUUUGCAAACGGCUCACUACGGUCAUUGAAAUUUGUUGAUUUUGAGCUCAUUCGAUCACUAGGCAAAUGAUAUCGAAAAAUAAUAAAAUUUAUUUUCUAGGUACUCCAAAUUCUCUAGAUCAAGUUUAAUGGAGCCGAUCGACGAUUCGAAAGUCGCAACAUCGAAAACGAGGUAGAAGCACGGAAGGCUCCGUGCUUCCGAUAGCAUAGCAGCCUCACUCUCUCUCUCUCUCUCUCUCUCUCUCUCUCUCUCUCUCUCUCUCUAUAUAUAUAUAUAUAUAUAU
rnacentral:lncRNA from 1 species